CCGUCCGAAGCGCCCUUGACUUUUGAACUUCGCGGGGUUUUGCGCUGACUUCUUCGUCCUCCCCUCGCUCUGAACUCUGCAAGUAAGCCCUAAAGAUUCCAUCUUUCUGAGAUUCUCUCGCCCCCUCCCUCUUUCCAUGUCAUGCAAGCAUCGGAUAUGAGAGCCUUGAGAACGCUCUGCACCCACAAUCACCUCCUCCAUCCCACCUCCAAACCCACAUCCCUCGCCUCCUUCAAGCCCCUCCAGAACCCCCGUCUCUACCGCGGCAUCCACUCCACGAAUCGCCGCCUCCUCUCUCGAGACCCCGGCCUCGCGCCCUUGCCCUCGGGCUCCGAGUCGGAGGCCAGCGACGCCGCCCCCGCUGUCGGCAACGUCCACGACCCUUCUGCCCGCUGGGUCAGAGCAGCGGCGGGGAAGCUGGGUCGGGUCCCGAGAGCGAGGCAAGGAGCAGGAAUGGCGAAAUUCCCGAAGAAAGGAAGUAUUUUGGAGGUGGUAGGAGCUCGUAUGGCGGGAGCGGUAAGAAGGGGAAGAAGAGGAGUUGUUGGGUUUGUUCGGAAUGUGGGUACACGGAUGGACAGUGGUGGGGUUCGUGCAGGUCGUGCCGUAGCGCCGGGACGAUGAAGCAGUUCACGGUGGAGGAGAACGGUGGCGGGAGCGAGAAAGUGAGGGGCUUCCAGGUGUCGGAGAAUGUGGUGAGGACGUGGCUGCCGCAGCGGGCUGGCGAGGUGCGGCCGCUGCGUUUGACGGAUGUGAAUAGGGGGUUGAAUCAGUUAGAGUGGCGGAUUCCUCUGUAAGUUUGUUCUGUUCUGGGAAAUGAGUAAGUGGUCAGCUUUGGACCCUAUAUGCAGCUGCUACAGAAAGAUAAAUAGUUGAAGAAAGUUGUUGUCGAGUUGAUUUUAUUGUCUUAUCUACAUUUGACAUAAUAAUUUACUUCGAAACAUCUUUCCAGGAGUUGGAUCAUAGAGCGUAUCUUGUGAUUCUGAUGAAAUUUUGCCGGAAUGAUAGUAUAUUUCCUUUUCUUUAGUAAUACGAGAGUGAUGAUAUGACCUUUGGUCCUGAUGACAAUCUGUUGUCCACCUCGAUGAAACCAUCCAUGCUGGUUAUUGUAACACAUUAGUGCUUCUGUUAAUUUAUUUUGAAAGAAACGUGCAUGUCGCUCUAAUUCCUUAAAGUAAAUGAUUUCUUGGGGUGCUUGAUGUUUAGGUAUGGACCCUUUGGAGAGGAGGUUUCGAGAGUGCUAGGCGGUGGUCUUGUGCCAGGUUCGACCUACUUUUUUGCUGUAUGGUCCGCACAGAUCUGCUGCUGUACUAGAACUUUCACUUGAGAUGUAUGGAAGUUUUGAAGAUCUUGAUUUUAUCAAAGCUAUUGAUUUUGCUGCAUUGUGGCUCUAAAGGUUCCUUAAUUUUGGUGGGAGGUGAUCCUGGUGUUGGCAAGAGUACCCUGUUGCUGCAGGUAAUGUAUUUAGAUGAUACUUUAAAUAUUCAUAAAAUAUUUGGGUCACUUUGAUGCCACGAUAUAGCACCCUUGCUUCACCCAUAAUUGGGUCCGCAGCAAGAUUUCAGCUUAUAAUACCGACAGGUACAAAGUUUCCCUCAUAGACAUGAAAAGCAAGCAAAUUCCAACAAAUUUUCCACUCCAAAAGUGAUGCAGCAUCAGCUGAAAUUUUACUCGAUUUUCAUGAGGCUUCCAUCCGAUUACUAUUUUUCAAUUGACAUUCUCAUUGCAUGCAGCGAGUGAUUUAGGACCUUAAAGGCUUGGACUUGGUCUUGGUCCUCAUAUUGCAGCUACAAACGCUUCCAAAUCCAUGCAGUGUGCAAGAGAGUCCCACCAACUUGCUUUUUCGUGCUUAAGACCUCUUUAAUCAAUUUCAUUACAGUUUGAGAGUUACUCCCCAACUUUGAAUUUUUUAGUAUAACUAAACAAGACACUAAAUGAUGUUCCAUCUAAAGAGAAAAAUGGGAACAUUCCAAAACACGAAUCAUCAGCACAGAUUAAUAGCUCCUUUUGAGAGAGCCUUGAUUUACAUAGGCUGGCCACUAACAGUAUGCAAAUGUUAAGACAAUUUGUCCAUAUUUAAAGCAAGCUCCUGAAUAGAUGAGAAAAAUUCAUGACUUCUCUGGACUAAGAUGGAUGUGCUGAAAAGCAUGGGUAACAUCGAAAUGUGGCACCAAAAAAAUUUCUAAAGAGAAAAAUAUAUGAGAGCAUCAACGUACAAAAAGAGGUAAGAAAAGCAAUCCACCUUUCUUAUAUCUAUAAAGUGGAAGUCAAGCUGGUCUCUGAACAUGACAAAACAGGAGUCGAAUGCAGAGAUAUAUCUAUUGGUCAAAUGGAGCCCGAAAAUGAACAUAAUCUCUUUAGGAAUCCAAAACACAUCAAAGAGCUUUUCUAGAGCAAUUAUUCAAUCCCACAAUGUUCCACCAUCAUGAAGCACAACAAUUCUUGAUUUUUUACAAAUGGAGUAGGAACACAUACCAACUUGACAAACGCAGGAUCAGAUGAUCUUAACGUAAGUGCUAGUUUUAUGGCAAGUAGCCAGUAAGGGAAGCCCCCAAAAUCCCACCCUGCAUCAAUGUGUACCCAUCGGGAUUAUUCCACCAUAUAAACGGGGAAGCAAGGAAAAUUGGAAUGCCAUCAUAUCGCAGAUAUUGCUAAUUAAUGCGCCUAAGGAAACACUAGCGCCCCUAUUGCAAAGAUAUAGAACAUAAACAGCAAGUAGUGUUAAGAGAUCAUAUUCAUUUCGAAGAAUUGUAUUUCUCCGCUCCAAUUGGAAGUCUAAAAUUUACUUUUUUGAACGAAUGUAAACAUCUCCUAUUGCCAACAAAAAAAGGAUCAUACUUGUUUGUUCUUGCAUAAAAAAAAAACUUCGAACAUGACAACAUAUCUGAAGAUGAGCCAUAUAUUGAGUUACAAUGGACGAGAUUUAGCAAUCUCCAUUACAAAUUUAACAUGCAAAGAUGCUUUGGUAAGGAAGUCAGAAAAGAAGAGCGUUUGGAAUCCAGAGUAUGUAUUUAUUAAUAAUCAUGCUUUUCUAACUACUAGCACAUAAAAAUAAAGGAACCAGUCAGAAACCACCUUUGCUCUGUUGAGCCAACUAUGCUCUCUAGAAUUGACUCUUCACAAAGAAUAGAAGAUUAAAGCACACGUGAUGCCUAAAUUUAUUUUGCCAAGCUAACAGAAUGCAUGAAGUCAUGGUCUUAGAGCAUUUCCAACACUUAAGACUAAAAUGGCACAGAACUACCUGUCAGCCAACAUGGCAUGCUUAAUUAAGUGCUAAAAGUCAAGUAUCUCUUCUUUGAGAGUAUGAGGACAGCAACUGAGAGUAUUGCUCUAAUUUAGUGGAAAGCAUGAGACACGAACUAUUCAUUGACCGUAUAUAACAUAGAAAUAAAGGAAUAGCACAGACCCGAAGGAAUAACUAGAUCUGCUAUUUGCAUAUAUGCACUCACAGACUCAAUCACGCAAAUGAUGUUUAAUCCUUAAGAGUCCUAAAUAGUGGAACAGAUUCGGUAGAUAAAUUAUUCGAGGAAAUAUGCACCACAUAUUUUUUGGCUGCAACAAAGUAGAAGACACAGAUGCAAGUCAGUCCUACGUGGAGGCAUAAACUUCAUCUCAUCUAUAAAAGGAAACAACUGAGAAUUCACCAGUCGGGACAGUCCCGAAUGAUGUAUUUUGAAAAUCGAAUGAACAACGAAGGUCUUCAAGUUGACCAUCAAUUAGAGAUGUCACGUUUUAUAUCUUACUGGACUUAGAACAGACAAAAUCCUGUUAUGUCCAAUAAACUGUCUAAGGUCAGCAAUUCAUACUCUUCACAGCUCCACAGAAACAAGAAGAGAAAAUAAGAAAAAGUGUCCUACUUCCACGAUUUUUUCGUUUUUGCUAAAAUGCUACCUCCACUUACUUGUGCACGAAAUCAAAUACGCGUGACUGAUGACCCUCUUGUAAUGGAAGAGACACCCAUCGCCAAGGUCCAAAAUGGAAUGACAGUUAUGGGUUAAAUAUGCUGAAAGCAUGCCAUGGCUUAAUAAGGCCAUGUCAAUCCAAUGUCCACUUCAGAGUCAAGACAAGGGCAGCAAACACUUCAACGUAGAUUAACAAGUUUUAAAGCACCAAUAAGAAGAUUCUGGCCCUCACCUGCACAUAUAUAAGGGCCUACUCGAAGCAUAACCAGGAGAUCAAGCUUCUUGUACAAGUUGAGAAAAGAUUUUAUAUGUGCAAUUCCCUCAAAGACUGUCUCCCCCGGUUUCGGUUCAUGCAGAUUCCAAGGAACAUAUGUCUGGAUAGUGUUCAAACAUAGGGCUUUUGCUCUCAGCAAUCUGUCUUCCCAAUACUGCAUGCACAAUAAAUGCCCAAGUGUAAUUGAUUCGUUAAAUGGAAGUGGGCAAAGUUUGCUUCAAGCAAAGAAUCCUUCUAGUCAGCAUUGAAAGAAGAUGCUGAAUUAUAUUAAGACGUGAACAAGUCCUUCAGUGAGGGGCUCCCUGAAUUUGUCAUGGAGCUCUAGAUUUUAUUGCUUCCUGAUGGAGCAGAAAGUCAUAUUCUAAAACAAUCUCAAGUUCAAAGUUGCCUUCUAGCUAAAUUAGAUGCAUUACCACAUGCAGUAAUACUGCUUCAGAUAUGGCCAAUACAACACAGCUUCUCUUCUUAAAAAAGUGCAUCUCCACAUAGAAAGGAGAACUAUUUGUGAGUAGCAUUUGGAAAAAAGCAUAUAUAACAAUUGUCACAAAAACCCAUUGUAAUCUAAUCACAUGAGUAAGAAGAACGACUAAAGGAAAGAAACGAAAAUACGUCCGGGAGCACCCGGAAAUAAUGAACAUCUCCACCGAUUAUCUGAAAGGGAUAGCCAUCUUUCCAGAACUUGUCACUGUCGAUCUCAAAUUUCCAACUACUGGACUGAUUAAAGUAAAUUGCAAUUAGACUCAGGUACAGAAGCAACCCAACUGAAAUUCAACCAUGCACGAUAGGGAUUUACAAUCAAAGACAGGUAGUGUCGACGAAAGUGAGAUGCUCACUGUGAACGAGCAGAAUAAACCAAAAACUAAACUACAAUCACAUUGCAAAACCGCUUUUUCAAUCGGUGAACAUAAUCUAGAAAGGUGGACACAAAGAAGCAGGAACUUGCAGCUUAAGGCAGCUCCGAUAAGCGAAAGUCCUCUUAAACGAAGUUAAACACAACACUUGAAAGGAGAAACUAUCAACGUACGCUAGCAUCGAUGAAUUAGAACGAACAGCUACAUUACGGUCCGAUGACAAGUAAAUUACUGCAGCUGACUCACUGAUCAGCAGCAUUUAAAGUCGGCCAUUGCCUAGACACAGCAAAGCGACUAGAACGGACAGUUUUAAGUCAUUCCAGACGGUCGAUCGUGCGCCAAGCGUUGAACACGCGACGCUAACAAAACGCGUUGCUGGUGGCCGUGCGAGCUGGCAUGCCCGUACAAGUGGUCGUUCUGGACAAUUACAUUCCCACUGCGACAUGGAUUUUAAUCUCAAUUAUCCACGUCAUCAUAGUGGUGUUUGUUAAUUUUUCCGUCUUUUCCUGAGAGAGCAUGUCUGAUCGAAGAUCAAGGCAUUUCAAGCCCGGUCGAGAUUAUCCAAGUUCUGCGCCAAAUUGGUCAUCGGGAAUGGGUUCGGACCCUUCAAAUUCCUUCUUUCAGCAUCGAAUCAUGUCUCGAUUGAAUAUCUUCGGCGGUUCAUUGGAAGAGCACAAACGAGGUUCAAGAUCAAUUUGACAUAUCAACUUUGCUCAUCACUUGCUUUUCCAUAUUUUUCAAGGAGACAAAGGUAAUAGUACCGGAUUUAACUUUCUCUAUCGAAUAUUUCGCCUGUCGUGCUUAAGAUUUCGUUCCCAAGUCAUUUUUCACAUGGCUGAAAUUUGCACAUGGAAUUGUUCUCCGGAUCCAACUUUUCCCCAACCACGAUCUCUUUUACAAGGAAGCAAAUCUGGUGAAUUCCUGGUGGUCCCUAGCUUUUACUCACGCUGGUCUCUCGUUUUGUUUUUCGUUUUUCGGUUUUUUUUUUUCUUUAUUAUCUCCUUGCUACUUUCGAAAAGUUCUUGGUGCCCUCCAAGUCCCUGUCUUUUUCUUGUUCUUCUUCUUUUUUUUCUCAACGAGUAGAAUUUCCUCGUCACCUUUUAUUCUAGAAACUCACCUUUUCGCGUCGAAUAUACCCAUGCAAAAUUUUCUUUCUCUUCGUCGCGCAAAGAGUUUUUCCAUAUUUCUAUGAUAAUCAAAUGGGGAGUUUAUGAGAUUGUUGUUACUCUUCAUAAAUUGAUUUGGGAUAUUUACCAAAGAAUUUGUGAAUAAGCGACGUCAACAAUGAAAUGUGGAAAAUUCUGUAUUUUCAGAGUACUAAUUUUUUUUUCUUAUUGAUGUGUGUAAUUAGUUUGAUUUUCAAGACUUGAAACUUUCCUAAUAAGGCAUGACGACGCAUCUGAUUCAUGAUUGACUUCGUGGGGAGUGAGGAUAGUGUAGCUUAAUUAUGCUUCUUAAGCCAAAAAGCCCAUUUCGUAUUUCUGCCAGCGGAAGAUAUCAUUAUCUCAAGAAAAAAGAUUCGAAGCAUGCUAAAUGUCAAAUAAAAGUCCGAUUUCGAGAAAGAAAGAAGUCGAAGAGUAAAAGGGAAAGGAAGAAGGAGAAGAAAUUGAUGAAAUUCUUUCAAUUAAGAAAGCCCAUUUUGAAUUUCUGCUAAAAGGAGAAAUCAUUAUCUCAAUCCAAAAGAAGAAAAAAAAUUAAAAAGAUCGGAAGCACGCUAAACGUCAAAUAAAAGUCCGAUUUCCAUAAAGAAAGAAGAAAGGUUGAAGGAGAAGAAAUUGAUGAAAUUCUUUCAUUGAAGCUUCCGCCCUAACCGCUUGAAAAUUGAAGUUCGAUAUGCAAUUCCAAGGAAUCCACAAGCGAAUCUUUUUCUAACGAUUUUGUCUUGUUCCGACCUUGUUCUCUCACGUGCUGCAUCGAUUGACAUUGUUCCUUCCCUUACGAACAUGCGCUCAUUCCACGUGAUGAUAAUAAAAGAAAAAACCUUAGCCGCAAACAAUCGAGCAAACGCUGUCGCGACCGGGGCAGUGUCUCGCAUCAGACACUUGAAUUUUCCGGGAAUCUGUCGAAAACGAUUCGCGGCCAUGCCUCCCACACGAGCUAUUAAUUACGGGGAGGAAAAAUCCCAUAAAUUGUUGGCAAAUGAAGCCUAAGGACCUAUGACCAAAAGAAAAAGAAAAAAAAAAGUAACGACCUUCAUCUUCAUCUUCAGGUAGCUUUCACGAGUUUGUUCACAUGCAUAUGGGAUCGGCAUCCUAUGUCCGCGUUUCCCCUACAACAAUUUAAUAUGCCUAAAAGACAUUUUCUCCAUCCGCAGAGCCCUAAAAGUACUAACCCCAAAACUAGCCACCCUUUCGACCACCCUUUCGACCACCCAUUGCAGAUUUCCUCUUCCUGAUAAUUCCAAAAAGAAUAGAGCAAAUAAUCAAAUAACCAGCAAACGUUCGUGGAAUUGAAAAUAUUUUUCAGCGCUCUAGUGCACUGGAUUAAAUAGAUCCUCUUUCUUUUUCUUUUCAUUUUUCUCGUUUUAGUGUGUGCGUUGGGGGUGGGGGAUGACGACAUGCAUUUUAAUGACAAUAAAAAGUGCCUGAGCAACUUGGAAGGGGGAGGUGAGGGGUUCAAAUCCCCACCUUCUCAGGGGGGAUUGGGGUGGGGACAAUUUCAUUUAAAGAGUGGGUUUCGACUCCCACGCUCUACAAGGAGGCAAGACAAAAGUCUGAGAGUGAGUGUUAAAGUAUGAUUAGAGUAUGACCGAUAAAAAAAAAAAACGUGCCUGAGCAGUAAUUGUAAAAUAUGGGUUUUGACCCAGUCAAAAAUAAAAAUAAAAUAAAAAAGAAAAAGGUAGAAGCUUCAGGAGAGAGAGAGAGAGAGAGAGAGAGAGAGAGAGAGAGAGGGGGGGAUCGAGAGUUUUCGGGAGAGGGAAAAGAGGAGAGAGAGAGAGGAAGAAAAGAUAGAAAGAAAAAAUAAAGGAAAAAGAAAAGAAAAAGAAGGAGAUAAAAGGGAAAGAGAGAAGGAAAGAAGGGGAGAGAGAGGGACGGCAAAGAGCUCGAACACUGAGAGAAGAAGAAAGAGAGAAAGAAGAAGAAGAAGAUGAUAAAAGAAAAAGAAGGGCUUCGCACAUUCUCGUCAUGGGAGCCUCGUCAAGCCACAUUAAUUACGUAAGGCAACGCUCGGUAAAUACCCGUGCUCCCUCUUCGUUCAGUCGGAGUAAUUUUGGAUCUAGGGCUUGAAAUUCGGAAUUUUGGGAAAAUCGAGCGACGGAGUAUAAUUUUUGAGUUGUUGAGCUGCGUAUUUUUGUAGAAAUGAUAACUUGGGAUGUUGUGGAGCUGUGGAUUUUACAGAUCGUAAUUUGAACUUACGGUUUGCCCAAAACAAAAUUUUGAAGUUUAUUGCGCGUGAUGAACAGUGCAUGACCAGAAUUUCAGAGCUAUAUUUUGUUGAUUUUCAGCUUGAUUUUGAGUUGGCUAAAUAGGGGGUUCUUGUAGUAUGUUGGAUGAGUUUUUCAUUGAUUAUAAGUGUGCUUUUAACGGAGUACAAUGGAGAAAAUUAUGGCAUGAUGAAGUUUUGUGCUCGCACUUCACGCUAAGGACGGGUUUGAGUAAUUGUUUUGGUUGAGUGAUUUAUUAGCGUGUAUGUGUCGUUUUAUCGAUGAUUUAACAUAAUUUAGUCAAGUUGUUAGUUGGAGAGUGGCAUAUUACCUGGUUUUAAUAUCGUUUUCGAUUCACUAAUAAGAAUACGAGUGCAUUGGCUCAAGUAACCACAUAGGUUGAUUUUCGACUUUUCCAGGUGAGUGGUGCUAUCUCUUCUAAGAAUUUAUAAGCUCAUGUCUUCAAAAUGAUAAAGAUUCGAUAUUUUAUGAGUUAUAAAUAAGCAUGUUUAUUUUACCAAAAAAAAAGCAUGUUUAUUGCAUAAAAGUUGGAUCGGGCAUUUACUAAGUUUUGAUAUUUGAAAAUAGUGUGUGAACAUUUUAUCAAUAUAUAUAUUAUGUUUAAUGAACAAAGUUGAAAAAAAUUACAUGUUUGGGUUUGUGAAAUCAUUUCAAGAAAAGCUCAACUUUGAGAUGAUUUAUGGAAUGUUAUAUAGAUAUUGGUUUGUGAUAAACUUUUUGAGAUGUAUUUGAUUUGAAAUUGAUUUAUGAGACAGGUCUUGAAAUUAUUUGAGAAUGUUUUAUGGAAAGUAUUUUUGGCGGAUAAGUUGAGUUGCGAAAUCUUUUCGUGAUAUAUGAAAUGUUUUAUGAAUUUGGUUUGAGAAUUAUGGAUGGUGUGGUUCUGGAUUAUUGUGGAUGUUCAAUAUCACUGUGAGCCCAACGAGGGGCUUGUAGGUAUGCGCAUACUAUUCUAGGAUAUUCUUGUGAGUUGAGGCACCGACUAAUAAUAAACGGAGACCUUGCUAAAGGUGGAAUCUUGGCCGUCUCGUCACCAAGCGUUGUAUCGUGACCAUGGUUUGAUAUUAAGUAACAGAUUGGUCAAUGGAGUGGACCAUUGACAUGUGAUAUGAGUUGGCUCGAUGAAUAGACCAUUGACGUGUAAUUUGAGAUUAGUCGUAGGAAUGGACUAUCAACGUGUAAUUUGAGAUUAGUCAUUGGAAUUGACCAUCGACAUGUAAUUUCAAUUAAAUUAUCGAUGUGUGGUUUGAUAAGAUUAAUCAAUGAAAUAGACCAUUGAUACAUGUUUUAUAAGAUUGACCAAUGGGUUAGAUCAUUGGCAUUUGCCUAUUAUUAUAUUGAAUAUUUUUGCUUUAAACAUAUUGUGUUAAAGUAAGAAAUGUUAUAUUUUCGUCCUGAAUGUUUGUUAAAUUUCUAGAUUUGCUGUGGUAUAAGAUUAACAAAUGGAAUGGACCAUUAGCGUGUGAAUUAAUGAGAUUGAUCAGUGGAUUAGACCACUAUAAAUAUAGCUAUGUUGAAGCGUAUGUAACUUAUUCUGUUUACUGUAUGUUUGUUAUAUCCUAAAUUUGAGUUAAAAGAGUUUUAAUUUGGUUUUGUAAAUAUGCAUUGUGGGUGCUCGAUCCGUUUUGGAAGAGAUGCACUACUCACUGAGCCGUGGUUGCUCACCCCUCUAUUUUCCAAUCUUUUUCAGGUUUAUCGACUAACGAUGAGUAGAUCCGAGAGCGAUAUGGAUGUGGAAACUUUUAAGAGUUGAAUUUUGGGAGCUUUGAGGGCCACGUCUUUGAGUGGAAGGACGACCGUGUCAUCCCGUUCUUGUUGAUUUUGGGGUGUGAUGGUAAUUGCUUUCUUCAUUGCUUGAUCAAUGGUGUGUUGCAUCUCUGCAAUAAAUUGCAUCCAGAGUGUUUUGCACUCCUAGGGCGUGAUCAGUGUUUCAUAGGAAGGAAUCUACAAUUAAACUAUGAAUGUAAGUGCUCUCACCAAAUUGAAGAUCUCCAUUAAUUAGAACCAGCAUGAUAAAAGUAAAACUCAUAUCUUCCCACGUGCUUAAAGCCAAGCAAUCUAUGCUCCCGUUGGUGGCAUGAGGUUUGUUGUCCAACAAUCAAACCAACAAAAGUUGUUUAAUAUUAUCCUUCUCACCAUCCAAACGAAUUGCCGCCAUCGCAGAUAGCAACCUUAAUGACUGUAAGCGUCAUUGAAUCGUUUCUUGUGAAAGAUCCACAGGCAAGCAACUGGAGAAACAUGAAAAAUAUUUGCCGCAUAUAAAUUUUGCAUACUACCAAACGAGCUUGUCGUGCGAUAUCUCAAAUAUCCUCCCUACUCCUCCAGACUCUAUCCACAUAGUCAACAUCAUGGCUGAACAGUAGCAAAACUAGAUAGAAAAUGAAGCGGGUUUCAGGUACUAUUGAAUCUAACCGACGAGUAAAUUGCAAACUUAAAGAUGCCUACCACUCCUUCAUUAGCUCAACGACCCUUUGAGGUACUUUAUUUGCUUGCUCUUUUUUGUACGACAGAUCUUCCAUAAUCUUUCAUAACAUUCAGCCUUCCUUCCUUCAUCUGUUGAUCCAUCUCAUAAGAAGAGAGGGCACUAGAGAACCAACUUAUGACCAACAUAGUCUCGCGCCUCUCUUUACAGAUGAAGGGCUUUUCCCUUUUUUACUUAAUGGUGGUUGAUGGGAUCUGCACGAAUUAUAUCAUGUUUUUAUAGGCAAGACUGAAGGAAGCAUUGUUUUGACCAGUGGAAACUCUUUUGAAGGGAGCUACUAGUGAAACCUAGUCGGCCAUCAGGACACUUCUUUCGCGCGAGACUAUGUUGGUCAUAAGUCGGUUCUUUAGUGCCCUCUCUUCUUAUGAGAUGGAUCAACAGACGAAGGAAUGAAGGCUGGACGUUAUGAAAGAUUAUGGAAGGUCUGUCGUACGAAAAAGAGCAAGCAAAUAAAAUAUCUCAAAGGGUCGUUGAGCUAAUGAAGGAGUGGUAGGCAUCUUUAAGUUCGCGAUUUACUCAUCGAUUAGAUUCAAUAGUACUUGAAAUCCGCUUCAUUUUCUAUCUAGUUUUACUACACUGUUCAGCCAUGAUGUUGACUAUAUGGAUAGAGUUUGGAGAAGUAGGGAGGAUGUUUGAGAUAUCGUACGACAAGCUCAUUUAGCAGUAUGCAAAAUUUAUAUGCGGCAAAUAUUUUUCAUGUUUCUCCAGUUGCUUGCUUGUGGAUCUUUCACAGGAAACGAUUCAAUGGCACUUGCAGUCAUUAAGGUUGUUGUCUGCGAUGGCGGCAAUUCGUUUGAAUGGUGAGAAGGAUAAUAUCGAACAACUUUUGUUGGUUUGGUUGUUGGACAACAAACCUCAUGCCACCGACGGGAGCAUAGAUCGCUUGGCUUUAAGCACAUGGGAAGAUGUGAGUUGUGUUUAUCGUGCGGGUUCUAAUUAAUGGAGAUCUUCAAUUUGGUGAGAGCACUUACAUUCAUUGUUUAAUUGUAGAUUCCUUUGUCCGAAACACUGAUCACGCCCCAGGAGUGCAAAACACUCUGGAUGCAAUUUAUUGCAAAGACGCAGCACACCGUUGAUCGAGCAGUGAAGGAAGCAAUUACCAUCACACCCCAAAAUCAACAAGAACGGGGGAUGACACGGUCGUCCUUCCACUCAAAGGACGUAGCCUCAAAGCUCCCAAAAUCCAACUCUUAAAAGUUUCCACAUCCAUAUCGCUCUCGGAUCUACUCAUCGUUAGUCGAUGAACCUGAAAAAGAUUGGAAAAUAGAGGGGUGAGCAACCACGGCUCAGUGAGUAGAGCAUCUCUUCUAAACGGAUCGAGCACCCACUAUGCAUAUUUACAAAACCACAUUACAACUCUUUUAACUCAAAUUUAGGAUAAAACAAACAUACAGUAAAAAGAAUAAGUUACAUACGCUUCCACAUGGUUAUAUUUAUAGUGGUCUAAUCCACUGAUCAAUCUCAUUAAUUCACACGCUAAUGGUCAAUUCCAUUUGUUAAUCUUAUACCACAUCAAACCCAGAAAUUUAACAAACCUUCAGGGCCAAAAUAUAACAUUUCUUACUUUAACACAAUAUGUUCAAAGCAAAAAUAUUCAAGAUAAUAAUAGGCAAAUGCCAAUGGUCUAACCCAUUGGUCAAUCUCAUAAAACAUGUAUCAAUGGUCUAUUCCAUUGAUUAAUCUCAUCAAACCACACAUCGAUAAUUUAAUUGAAAUUACACGUUGAUGGUCCAUUCCUACGACUAAUCUCAAAUUACACGUCGAUAGUUCAUUCCAUCAACCCAACUCAUAUCACAUGUUAAUGGUCCACUCCAUUGACCAAUCUAUUACUCAAUAUCAAACCAUGGUCACGAUACAACGCCUGGUGACGAGGUAACCAAGAUUCCACCCUUGGCAAGGUCUCUGUUUAUUAUUAGCCGAUGCCUCAGCCCACAAGGAUAUCCUAAAAUAGUAUUCGCAUACUCACAAGCCUUUCCCUGGGCUCACAGUGAUAUUGAACAUCCACAAUAAUCCAAAACCACACCAUCCAUAAUUCUCAAACCAAAUUCAUAAAAUAUUUCAUAUAUCACGAAAAGAUUUCGCAACUCAACUUAUCCACCAAAAAUACUUUCCAUAAAACAUUCUCAAAUAAUUUCAAGAUCUGUCUCAUAAAUCAAUUUCAAAUCAAAUACAUCUCAAAAAGUUUAUCACAAAUCAAUAUCUAUAUAACCUUCCAUAAAUCAUCUCAAAGUUGAGCUUUUCGUGAAAUGAUUUCACAAACCCAAAACAUGUAAUUUUUCUCAACUUCGUUCAUCAAACCGAAUAUAUAUUGAUAAAACAUUCACACACUAUUUUCAAAUAUCAAAACUUAGUAAAUGCCCAAUCCAACUUUUAUGCAAUAAACAUACUUAUUUUUAACUCAUAAAAUAUCGAAUCUUUAUCAUUUUGAAGACAUGAGCUUAUAAAUUCUUAGAAGAGAUAGCACCACUCACCUGGAAAAGUCGAAAAUCAACCUAUGUGGUUACUUGAGCCAACGCACUCAUAUUUCUAUUAAUAAAUCGAAAACGAUAUUAAAACCAAGUAAUAUGCCACGCUCCAACUAACGACUCGACUAAAUUAUGUUAAAACAUCGAUAAAACGACACCUGCACACUAAUAAAUCACUCAACCAAAACAAUUACUCAAACCCGUCCUUAGCGUGAAGUGCGAGCACGAAACUUCAUCACACCAUAAUUUUCUCCAUCAAACUCCGUUAAAAGCGCACUUAUAAUCAAUUAAAAACUCAUCCAACAUACUACAAGAAUCCCAAUUUAGCCAACCCAAAAUCAAGCCGAAAAUCAACAAAAUAUAGCUCUGAAAUUCUGGUCGUGCAUUGUUCAUCACACGCAGUUAACUUCAAAAUUUUGUUUCGGGCAAAUUACGAUCCGUAAAAUCCCAUAGCUCCACAACAUCCUAAGUUAUCAUUUCUACAAAAAUACACAGCUUAACGACUCAAAAAUCAUAAUUCGUCGCUCGAUUUUCCCAAAAUUCCAAAUUUCAAGCCCUAGGUCCAAAAUUACUCCGACUAAACGAAGAGGGAGCACGAGUAUUUACCGAGCGUUGCCUUACGUAAUUAAUGUGGCUUGACGAGGCUCCCAUGAUGAGAACGCGCGAAGCCCCUCUUUUUCUUUUAUCUUCUUCUUCUUCUUCUUUCUCUCUUUCUUCUUCUCUAUGUGUUCGAGCUCUUUACCGUCCCUCUCUCUCCCCUUCUUUCCUUCUCUCUUUCCCUUUUAUCUCCUUCUUUUUCUUUUCUUUUUCCUUUAUUUUUUUCUUUAUGUCUUUUCUUCCUCUCUCUCUCUCCUCUUUUCCCACUCCCGAAAACUCUCGAUUCCCCUCUCUCUCUCUCUCUCUCUCUCUCUCUCUGCUAAAGCUUCUACCUUUUUCUUUUUCUUUUUUUUUGACUGGGUCAAAACCCAUAUUUUACAAUUACUGCUCAGGCACGUUUUAUUGUCAUUAAGGGCGUGCAUGUUUUUAUUUCUCGAAUCUGUUUAAGAACAGAUUUUGUGUUUUUUUGUUUUUUUGUUCCCGGAACAAAAUUGAAACAAAAAAAAAAAAAAACAAAAAAAACUUACUUCUGAGAUCCAGAAACACUUCUUGAAGGCCUAAAAAGAACAAAAAUAAAAGAACAAAACCGGAACACUUCUGGAGGUGGGUUCGUUCGUGCCCGAAGGCUUUCGUUCGUGCUCUCCCUUUUCUGGUAUCUCUCCCUUCUCUCCGGCACCUCCCACUCGGCUGACUCUCCGGCAACUCCCCACUCCGCCGACUCUCCGGCGCCUCCCCACUCGGCCGACUCUCCAGCGCCGACAGGUGCUGCUCCUUGACCAGCUGAAGCUUCUGAAUCCAGGUAAGUUUCUGCUGCUCCUCCUUCUCCGUUUGAAGAGGGCUUCGGCGAGAGCCACCCCUUGCAAAUCUGAGCCACCUUCGCCGACAGCCGAGACGCUCGCUCUAGCGACAGCUCGCUCGAGCCUCAAGCUGAGUGUUGCUCGCCCAGAUCUACAGCAGAUCUGGGCGACGGCUGCUCUGCCGAGCUCGAGCUGCUGUGGUCGCUCAGUAGAGUAGCUCUGGUCGCUCAAGUGGCAGCUCUGCCAGCUCGCUUGAGCGGCAGAGCAACGACGCUCGUUCGAGCUGCUCUGCCAACUCGAGCGAGCGUGGCUGCUCUACCGAGCAAGCAACGUAGCGGAGCGACGCUCGAGCAAGCGUCAGUGCUCUGCUCGCUCGGCAGAGCAGCGAAGCGACGCUCGAGUGAGCGUCGGUGCUCUGCUCGCUCGGCAGAGCAGUAGAGCAACGAGCGUCGCUGCUCUACUCGCUUGGCAGAGCAACGCAGCGACACUCAAGCGAGCAUCCCUGCUCUGCUUGCUCGGCAGAAGCGGAAGUUGAGUCACCAAAGGAGAUGAAGACAAAACCUGAGAUCUUUCAAUCUCAGGAGAAUCCUGUAUCAAGGAACGAAGAUUUGUGCUUCCACAGCCCUGAGAUUAGCUCAAAUCUUCAUUUUGCUGAUUCACAGACCAAAGUGGAGAGCAUGGUUUAUUCAGAUGGCAGUUUGAGAUCCAGGAAUAGGAACCUAGGCCAGCUAUCUUUCUAUGAUGCCAUGCUGCCAAAUCCAGGUACAUACUCAGAUAUACACCUUAUUAUUAAGGGGAGUCAUCUAGAUUGAUAAUGGUGUAAUUUGAUUUGAUAACCUAGAGUCUUAUCAUUUCCAGAUUUGCUUUUGGACACUAUCUAGAUGAAACACGACAGAUUAGGUUAUUUUUAGCGAUGAUAUCAGCAGAGAAGUGUUUUUAUAUCCAUGAAUUUGCUGAUUAUCCUAACAGAGAGAUUUAGAAAUUGGUAUGAACAGUUCUUGGUGAAGUUAAUCUUUGGUCAAUUCGAUAGCAAAGAACUGUUCAAUUGACCCUCCCAAGCUUUUCCAUUCUACGUAACAGCAACAUUCACUGGUUUUUAGUCUAAAUAUGCCUCAUCGAUUCUUAAUUUCAUAUAUAUUUACUGUGAAUUUUGACUGUUCCUGCUAUCUAUGUAAUGAUUAUGAUGGGUUUCCCAUCUCAGAUUUGGGUAAUAGCAUCGAUGAUGGUAACUGAAUUGCAAAUGUUCCUUAGCAUAAGCCAAUUUUGCCUAAAGCACAUAUGGAGUUGCUAAUUUCUGAUAUGUUCCUAGGCGGUCUUGCAGGAAAUGAGCAUCUGGGUGGGAAGAUGGAGGUACCAGGAGCCUAUGGUCUGUAUCAUUCUGCGGAAGACUUCGGCAUGAGUGGAUGAUGCUGAUCGGUGCCACGGAUCUGCCCCCUUGCCUGCCAUGCUAAUGCUGAUGCUGAUGUUUAGCUUUUGCCGCUUGCGGCGUCAUAGCUUGGUCGAAGCCUAAUCUUGCAGAGUUGGAUGUUCGGUUUGCUUUUUGUGAAGGAACUGAUUUUACUGAGGAUCAUACGCUAGUUUGACUAGUUUGUUUGGAUUUUUGAUGGACUCGUGUCGCACAAAUUUGUUUACGGGAGCGGGAUGAGCGCUGUAUAUUCUAUUCAAAUCACUCUGGCUCUUGCAAUUUCAGAAUGCGGGCAUUUAGAUAGACCAUGGAGUUAGGCCCUUUUUUCCUUCUGUCCUAGUGGCUUACCUACUGUUGGAGAAGAAUCUGGGAAACUUUGUGUUUGAUCUAGUUAUGUAUGUGCAUGAUUUCGUGCACCUGUUCAAUCAAUUUGUCUUGAGCGUGCAGAAUUCUUUACCUUGGCCAUUGACUUUGAUGGAUUCAUGGUUGAGGAGAGCAGUUCUCUCAUUUUCGUGUUGUUCGUGCAUGCGUGCAUGCGUAAUGCAAUUUGAGGAAUGUGACCUCUAUGACAAGCGCAGGACUCAAUAGGGAGGGCAGGUCUUCAUUUAACUCGUGGGAAAGUAAUUAUUAUUUUCUCGUCGAACUUCUUAAAGCUAAAAAAGGUAAUUCAAUCAUAGAAAUUGCGGAAGAAAAAGUUCCAAUUCACUAUUAGUCGCAACAUGUUUUAAAUAAUUUGGCGUUCGAUACUAAUUUAUGUUGAAUUUUGAAUUCAACGAUGAAUGGGAAUAGAUAAAGUGUAUGAGUAGUGUGUGACUUUAUAUUAAAUAGCCUGAGCUCAUCCAACUAAAAUGACCUUUCUUUAUACAAGAAAGGAUGCAUCCGAGAAUGUGUAACACGAAAACAUUGCACUUGUAAGCAAUAGUUUGUUACUUAAGCUGCAAUAGUCGUGCUUCGUUCUCACAUCUCACUUAAAGGUAGCGAUUUAACUUUACGUACAGUAAUUUAUUCAUAGAGUUCGUAACAUGAAAAUAUAGCUGCUUGUUAAAUGCCAAAUAAUAGUGCAAUAAAACACCCUCAAAUUGUCCAUCCAUGAUGGUGUCAUUCGAGAAAUUAGGAAGUAACAACUUUUUUCACGUAGUAAUUUACUUUUAAGGUCUUGCAUGAUCCAAUAUCCGGUGAAAAAUCGUGAGCAACCUAAAUUUGUGGUAAAUCUUUGGUGAUCAUGACAUUUCUUCACUCACCAUUAACAAAAUAAAAUUAAUGAGCAUUUCAUGAGAAUGAAAAUUCAAUAUCAAGUUUAAACUUUAUUAAAAAAAAAAACAUUUUUUGAAAAAUUUAAAACAAAAAUUUUGUACAGUUUACUAAACGUGUUUCUGUUCUUUUUAUAUUUUAGGAACAGAAAUUGAAUGCAGUUAUCAAACGUGUUUAUGUUCUUUUUUUAUUUCAAGAACAGUUUUUUUUUACACUUACCAAACGCGUUCUUUUGUUCAAAAACUGUUCCCCGGAACAGAAACACUCUUUUUUAUUUCUGUUCCUUGGAACAAUUUUUUAAUAGAAACGUUACCAAACGCGCCCUAAAAUGCAUGUCAUCAUCCCCCACCCCCAACGCACACACUAACACGAGAAAAAUGAAAAGAAAAGGAAAGAGGCUCUAUUUAAUCCAGUGCACUAGAGCGCUGAAAAAUAUUUUCAAUUCCACGAACGUUUGCUGGUUAUUUGAUUAUUUGCUCUAUUCCUUUUGGAAUUAUCAGGAAGAGGAAAUCUGCAAUGGGUGGUCGAAAGGGUGGUCGAAAGGGUGGCCAGUUUUGGGAUUAGUACUUUUAGGGCUAUGCGAAUGGAGAAAAUGUCUUUUAGGCAUAUUAAAUUGUUGUAGGGAAACGCGGACAUAGGAUGCCGAUCCCAUAUGCAUGUGAACAAACUCGUGAAAACUAGCCGAAGAUGAAGAUGAAGGUCGUUACACUUUUUUUUUCUUUUUCUUUUAGUCAUAGGUCCUUAGGCUUCAUUUGCCAACAAUUUAUGGGAUUUUUCCUCCCCGUAAUCAAUAGCUCGUGUGGGAGGCAUGGCCGCGAAUCGGUUUCGACAGAUUCCCGGAAAAUUCAGGUGUCUGAUGCGAGACACUGCCCCGGUCGCGACAGCGUUCGCUCGAUUGUUUGCGGCCAAGGUUUUUUCUUUUAUUAUCAUCACGUGGAAGGAGCGCAUGUUCGUAAGGGAAGGAACAAUGUCAAUCGAUGCAGCACGUGUAGAGAACAAGGUCGGAACAAGACAAAAUCGUUAGAAAAAGAUUCGCUUGUGGAUUCCUUGGAAUUGCAUAUCGAACUUCAAUUUUCAAGCGAUAAGGGCGGAAGCUUCAAUGAAAGAAUUUCAUCAAUUUCUUCUCCUUCAACCUUUCUUCUUUCUUUAUGGAAAUCGGACUUUUAUUUGACGUUUAACAAACACCACGAUGAUGACGUGGAUAAUUGAGAUUAAAAUCCAUGUCGCAGUGGGAAAUGUAAUUGUCCAGAACGACCACUUGUACGGGCAUGCCAGCUCGCACGGCCACCAGCAACGCGUUUUGUUAGCGUCGCGUGUUCAACGCUUGGCGCACGAUCGACCGUCUGGAAUGACUUAAAACUGUCCGUUCUAGUCGCUUUGCUGUGUCUAGGCAAUGGCCGACUUUAAAUGCUGCUGAUCAGUGAGUCAGCUGCAGUAAUUUACUUGUCAUCGGACCGUAAUGUAGCUGUUCGUUCUAAUUCAUCGAUGCUAGCGUACGUUGAUAGUUUCUCCUUUCAAGUGUUGUGUUUAACUUCGUUUAAGAGGACUUUCGCUUAUCGGAGCUGCCUUAAGCUGCAAGUUCCUGCUUCUUUGUGUCCACCUUUCUAGAUUAUGUUCACCGAUUGAAAAAGCGGUUUUGCAAUGUGAUUGUAGUUUAGUUUUUGGUUUAUUCUGCUCGUUCACAGUGAGCAUCUCACUUUCGUCGACACUACCUGUCUUUGAUUGUAAAUCCCUAUCGUGCAUGGUUGAAUUUCAGUUGGGUUGCUUCUGUACCUGAGUCUAAUUGCAAUUUACUUUAAUCAGUCCAGUAGUUGGAAAUUUGAGAUCGACAGUGACAAGUUCUGGAAAGAUGGCUAUCCCUUUCAGAUAAUCGGUGGAGAUGUUCAUUAUUUCCGGGUGCUCCCGGACGUAUUUUCGUUUCUUUCCUUUAGUCGUUCUUCUUACUCAUGUGAUUAGAUUACAAUGGGUUUUUGUGACAAUUGUUAUAUAUGCUUUUUUCCAAAUGCUACUCACAAAUAGUUCUCCUUUCUAUGUGGAGAUGCACUUUUUUAAGAAGAGAAGCUGUGUUGUAUUGGCCAUAUCUGAAGCAGUAUUACUGCAUGUGGUAAUGCAUCUAAUUUAGGCUAGAAGGGCAACUUUGAACUUGAGAUUGUUUUAGAAUAUGACUUUCUGCUCCAUCAGGAAGCAAUAAAAUCUAGAGCUCCAUGACAAAUUCAGGGAGCCCCUCACUGAAGGACUUGUUCACGUCUUAAUAUAAUUCAGCAUCUUCUUUCAAUGCUGACUAGAAGGAUUCUUUGCUUGAAGCAAACUUUGCCCACUUCCAUUUAACGAAUCAAUUACACUUGGGCAUUUAUUGUGCAUGCAGUAUUGGGAAGACAGAUUGCUGAGAGCAAAAGCCCUAUGUUUGAACACUAUCCAGACAUAUGUUCCUUGGAAUCUGCAUGAACCGAAACCGGGGGAGACAGUCUUUGAGGGAAUUGCACAUAUAAAAUCUUUUCUCAACUUGUACAAGAAGCUUGAUCUCCUGGUUAUGCUUCGAGUAGGCCCUUAUAUAUGUGCAGGUGAGGGCCAGAAUCUUCUUAUUGGUGCUUUAAAACUUGUUAAUCUACGUUGAAGUGUUUGCUGCCCUUGUCUUGACUCUGAAGUGGACAUUGGAUUGACAUGGCCUUAUUAAGCCAUGGCAUGCUUUCAGCAUAUUUAACCCAUAACUGUCAUUCCAUUUUGGACCUUGGCGAUGGGUGUCUCUUCCAUUACAAGAGGGUCAUCAGUCACGCGUAUUUGAUUUCGUGCACAAGUAAGUGGAGGUAGCAUUUUAGCAAAAACGAAAAAAUCGUGGAAGUAGGACACUUUUUCUUAUUUUCUCUUCUUGUUUCUGUGGAGCUGUGAAGAGUAUGAAUUGCUGACCUUAGACAGUUUAUUGGACAUAACAGGAUUUUGUCUGUUCUAAGUCCAGUAAGAUAUAAAACGUGACAUCUCUAAUUGAUGGUCAACUUGAAGACCUUCGUUGUUCAUUCGAUUUUCAAAAUACAUCAUUCGGGACUGUCCCGACUGGUGAAUUCUCAGUUGUUUCCUUUUAUAGAUGAGAUGAAGUUUAUGCCUCCACGUAGGACUGACUUGCAUCUGUGUCUUCUACUUUGUUGCAGCCAAAAAAUAUGUGGUGCAUAUUUCCUCGAAUAAUUUAUCUACCGAAUCUGUUCCACUAUUUAGGACUCUUAAGGAUUAAACAUCAUUUGCGUGAUUGAGUCUGUGAGUGCAUAUAUGCAAAUAGCAGAUCUAGUUAUUCCUUCGGGUCUGUGCUAUUCCUUUAUUUCUAUGUUAUAUACGGUCAAUGAAUAGUUCGUGUCUCAUGCUUUCCACUAAAUUAGAGCAAUACUCUCAGUUGCUGUCCUCAUACUCUCAAAGAAGAGAUACUUGACUUUUAGCACUUAAUUAAGCAUGCCAUGUUGGCUGACAGGUAGUUCUGUGCCAUUUUAGUCUUAAGUGUUGGAAAUGCUCUAAGACCAUGACUUCAUGCAUUCUGUUAGCUUGGCAAAAUAAAUUUAGGCAUCACGUGUGCUUUAAUCUUCUAUUCUUUGUGAAGAGUCAAUUCUAGAGAGCAUAGUUGGCUCAACAGAGCAAAGGUGGUUUCUGACUGGUUCCUUUAUUUUUAUGUGCUAGUAGUUAGAAAAGCAUGAUUAUUAAUAAAUACAUACUCUGGAUUCCAAACGCUCUUCUUUUCUGACUUCCUUACCAAAGCAUCUUUGCAUGUUAAAUUUGUAAUGGAGAUUGCUAAAUCUCGUCCAUUGUAACUCAAUAUAUGGCUCAUCUUCAGAUAUGUUGUCAUGUUCGAAGUUUUUUUUUUAUGCAAGAACAAACAAGUAUGAUCCUUUUUUUGUUGGCAAUAGGAGAUGUUUACAUUCGUUCAAAAAAGUAAAUUUUAGACUUCCAAUUGGAGCGGAGAAAUACAAUUCUUCGAAAUGAAUAUGAUCUCUUAACACUACUUGCUGUUUAUGUUCUAUAUCUUUGCAAUAGGGGCGCUAGUGUUUCCUUAGGCGCAUUAAUUAGCAAUAUCUGCGAUAUGAUGGCAUUCCAAUUUUCCUUGCUUCCCCGUUUAUAUGGUGGAAUAAUCCCGAUGGGUACACAUUGAUGCAGGGUGGGAUUUUGGGGGCUUCCCUUACUGGCUACUUGCCAUAAAACUAGUACUUACGUUAAGAUCAUCUGAUCCUGCGUUUGUCAAGUUGGUAUGUGUUCCUACUCCAUUUGUCAAAAAUCAAGAAUUGUUGUGCUUCAUGAUGGUGGAACAUUGUGGGAUUGAAUAAUUGCUCUAGAAAAGCUCUUUGAUGUGUUUUGGAUUCCUAAAGAGAUUAUGUUCAUUUUCGGGCUCCAUUUGACCAAUAGAUAUAUCUCUGCAUUCAACUCCUGUUUUGUCAUGUUCAGAGACGUAAGAAAGGUGGCUAGCUUGACUUCCACUUUAUAGAUAUAAGAAAGGUGGAUUGCUUUUCUUACCUCUUUUUGUAUGUUGAUGCUCUCCUAUAUUUUUCUCUUCAGAAAUUUUUUUGGUGCCGCAUUUCGAUGUUACCCAUGCUUUUCAGCACAUCCAUCUUAGUCCAGAGAAGUCAUGAAUUUUUCUCAUCUAUUCAGGAGCUUGCUUAAAAUAUGGACAAAUUGUCUUAUCCUUUGCAUACUGUUAGUGGCCAGCCUAUGUAAAUCAAGGCUCUCUCAAAAGGAGCUAUUAAUCUGUGCUGAUGAUUCGUGUUUUGGAAUGUUCCCAUUUUUCUCUUUAGAUGGAACAUCAUUUAGUGUCUUGUUUAGUUAUACUAAAAAAUUCAAAGUUGGGGAGUAACUCUCAAACUGUAAUGAAAUUGAUUAAAGAGGUCUUAAGCACGAAAAAGCAAGUUGGUGGGACUCUCUUGCACACUGCAUGGAUUUGGAAGCGUUUGUGUUGGAUUAUAAUGUCUCAGUGCUGCUGGUUUUUCGACUGAUGUUCCUCUGUUCUGUUUUCUUCUUAUGGUUUAUUUUUCUUGCUAAGUGGUUAUAUUAUGCAGCUGGUAUUUUUGUUAUUUAGGAAGUGAAUUAGCACGUUUAGGUGCAGUUAUAUGCUGCACGUGUGUGUGGUUUGUAAGCAGUUAUUGUUCUUGUUUAAGUUGUCCUGUACUUGACAGUUUCCUAAGAGAACUGACGUAUGCAAGUUUGUGUUCUAUUUCUCUGGGCUUCUCUUCCUCAUUCGAAAUCUAUGGCUUCUGGUUUUCUGUUUCUUGUUUACUGUUUCAUCAGUAACAACAGUGGUAUCAAAGCAUGAAUGAUCUUGAGGGACUGUGAAGUGAAGCAAGUAUCGAAGUGUAAAGAAGUUAAAGGGUGAUGGAGACAGGGUCGAGUGGUUUCUCUGCGAUGGCUUCUCCAGUAUUUACUGGAGAGAAUUAUCAAGCAUGGGUUGUUAAGAUGACAGCAUUUUUUGGAGGGUCAUGAUCUGUGGUAUGCUAUGGAGAAUAAUCCGACCAUGAAUCAAAUCAAACUUCAUAAAGAGAGAACCACAAGAAAAGCCAAGGCAAAAUCUUGCAUGCAUGCUGCUGUCUCGCCUACCAUCUUUACCAGAAUUAUGAAGUGUGACUCUGCAAAGGCCAUAUGGGACUUCUUGAAGGAAGAAUAUGAAGGAGAUGAGAAGAUAAGAGGUAUGAAGGUGCUGAAUCUCUUGAGAGAAUUUGAGAGACAGCAGAUGAAAGAGUCUGAGUCAGUGAAGGAAUACUUUGAUAGGAUAGUGGGGAUAGCUGAUAAAAUCAGAGUUUUGGAGACUGACUUGAAGGAUGAUAGGCUUGUUCAGAAGAUCCUGAUGUCUUUUCCAGAGAAAUUCGAAGCUACUAUAGCUUCUCUGGAAAACACAAGGGACUUGGCUGAUAUAAAACUUGCAGAGUUAUUGAAUGCUUUGCAGGCACAGGAACACAGAAGACUAAUGAGGAGAGAAGAACAUGUAGAGGGGGCAUUACAAGCCAAAGUAAAGCAAAAUGAUGGAGGCAAAGGGAAGAAAUGGAUUCAGUUUAGAGGAAAUGUUGCUGAUUCGAGGUUUUUACCAAAAGAAGGGAACACUGGUGGAUCUAGCAAAUGGAAAAAUAAUAAAAGGCCAUGUCAGUACUGUGGUGGAACCAAUCAUCAGUCUUUUAGAUGCUGAAGAAAGCCAGAUGCUAGGUGCAGAAGAUGACACAAGUUGGGUCACAUGGAAGCUAUUUGCAAAGGGAAAACUUAUCAGCAAGCAGGAGAAGCACAAGUGGCAGUACAUAAAGUUGAUGAAAAGCACCUGUUUGUAGCUUCAGCUGGUGAAUCUUCAGUCGAAAAUAAUACAUGGCUGGUAGAUAGUGGCUGUACCAAUCACAUGACUGGUAACUUAAAGCUAUUCAGGAACAUAAACAAUACAAUAAGGUCCAGAGUCAGAAUUGGCAAUGGACAGCAUAUUAAAGUGCAAGGUAAAGGUGUAGUUGCUAUUGAAGGAAACCAGGAGGUAAAGCUAAUCAGGGAUGUUCUCUUUGUGCCAAAUAUUGACCAAAAUCUGUUAAGUGUUGGUCAGUUAGUGAAGAAGGGCUAUAAAGUGAAGUUCGAAGGAAGGGAAUGUCUCAUUAAAAAUGCUGACAAUAAGUCUUGAGAAUUCCAAUGAGGGAUAAAAGUUUUAUGUUCAAGCCACAUGAGAUGCAACAGAUGGCUUUGAAAUGCAAAGAAGAAAAUACAGAGCUAUGGCAUAAAAGACUUGGGCAUGUUCACAGGAGGAGUAUGCUAUUUAUGCAGAAAAAUGGCUUGGUAGAUGACUUGCCAAGCUUGGAUGAAGAACUUCCACAAUGCAGAACCUGUCUUCUUGGCAAACAAGCUAGAUUUCCCUUCAAAUGAGGAGUCUCAAGGAUAUGUCAAAAGCUGGAACUAGUUCACACUGAUGUAUGUGGACCUAUGUUUGAACCCUCUCUCAGUAGAAGCAGGUAUUUUAUUACCUUUACUGAUGAUUUGACUAGGAUGAGCUGGAUCUAUUUUCUGCGAGCUAAGACUAAAGUAGCUGAUGCAUUUAUGAAGUUUAAAGCUUUAGUUGAGAAUCAAAGUAGGAAGAAAAUUAAAGCUCUCAGGUCUGACAAUGGAUCUGAGUAUACAACUAACAAAUUUAAGCUGAUUUGUGAGCAAGCAGGANNNNNNNNNNNNNNNNNNNNNNNNNNNNNNNNNNNNNNNNNNNNNNNNNNNNNNNNNNNNNNNNNNNNNNNNNNNNNNNNNNNNNNNNNNNNNNNNNNNNNNNNNNNNNNNNNNNNNNNNNNNNNNNNNNNNNNNNNNNNNNNNNNNNNNNNNNNNNNNNNNNNNNNNNNNNNNNNNNNNNNNNNNNNNNNNNNNNNNNNNNNNNNNNNNNNNNNNNNNNNNNNNNNNNNNNNNNNNNNNNNNNNNNNNNNNNNNNNNNNNNNNNNNNNNNNNNNNNNNNNNNNNNNNNNNNNNNNNNNNNNNNNNNNNNNNNNNNNNNNNNNNNNNNNNNNNNNNNNNNNNNNNNNNNNNNNNNNNNNNNNNNNNNNNNNNNNNNNNNNNNNNNNNNNNNNNNNNNNNNNNNNNNNNNNNNNNNNNNNNNNNNNNNNNNNNNNNNNNNNNNNNNNNNNNNNNNNNNNNNNNNNNNNNNNNNNNNNNNNNNNNNNNNNNNNNNNNNNNNNNNNNNNNNNNNNNNNNNNNNNNNNNNNNNNNNNNNNNNNNNNNNNNNNNNNNNNNNNNNNNNNNNNNNNNNNNNNNNNNNNNNNNNNNNNNNNNNNNNNNNNNNNNNNNNNNNNNNNNNNNNNNNNNNNNNNNNNNNNNNNNNNNNNNNNNNNNNNNNNNNNNNNNNNNNNNNNNNNNNNNNNNNNNNNNNNNNNNNNNNNNNNNNNNNNNNNNNNNNNNNNNNNNNNNNNNNNNNNNNNNNNNNNNNNNNNNNNNNNNNNNNNNNNNNNNNNNNNNNNNNNNNNNNNNNNNNNNNNNNNNNNNNNNNNNNNNNNNNNNNNNNNNNNNNNNNNNNNNNNNNNNNNNNNNNNNNNNNNNNNNNNNNNNNNNNNNNNNNNNNNNNNNNNNNNNNNNNNNNNNNNNNNNNNNNNNNNNNNNNNNNNNNNNNNNNNNNNNNNNNNNNNNNNNNNNNNNNNNNNNNNNNNNNNNNNNNNNNNNNNNNNNNNNNNNNNNNNNNNNNNNNNNNNNNNNNNNNNNNNNNNNNNNNNNNNNNNNNNNNNNNNNNNNNNNNNNNNNNNNNNNNNNNNNNNNNNNNNNNNNNNNNNNNNNNNNNNNNNNNNNNNNNNNNNNNNNNNNNNNNNNNNNNNNNNNNNNNNNNNNNNNNNNNNNNNNNNNNNNNNNNNNNNNNNNNNNNNNNNNNNNNNNNNNNNNNNNNNNNNNNNNNNNNNNNNNNNNNNNNNNNNNNNNNNNNNNNNNNNNNNNNNNNNNNNNNNNNNNNNNNNNNNNNNNNNNNNNNNNNNNNNNNNNNNNNNNNNNNNNNNNNNNNNNNNNNNNNNNNNNNNNNNNNNNNNNNNNNNNNNNNNNNNNNNNNNNNNNNNNNNNNNNNNNNNNNNNNNNNNNNNNNNNNNNNNNNNNNNNNNNNNNNNNNNNNNNNNNNNNNNNNNNNNNNNNNNNNNNNNNNNNNNNNNNNNNNNNNNNNNNNNNNNNNNNNNNNNNNNNNNNNNNNNNNNNNNNNNNNNNNNNNNNNNNNNNNNNNNNNNNNNNNNNNNNNNNNNNNNNNNNNNNNNNNNNNNNNNNNNNNNNNNNNNNNNNNNNNNNNNNNNNNNNNNNNNNNNNNNNNNNNNNNNNNNNNNNNNNNNNNNNNNNNNNNNNNNNNNNNNNNNNNNNNNNNNNNNNNNNNNNNNNNNNNNNNNNNNNNNNNNNNNNNNNNNNNNNNNNNNNNNNNNNNNNNNNNNNNNNNNNNNNNNNNNNNNNNNNNNNNNNNNNNNNNNNNNNNNNNNNNNNNNNNNNNNNNNNNNNNNNNNNNNNNNNNNNNNNNNNNNNNNNNNNNNNNNNNNNNNNNNNNNNNNNNNNNNNNNNNNNNNNNNNNNNNNNNNNNNNNNNNNNNNNNNNNNNNNNNNNNNNNNNNNNNNNNNNNNNNNNNNNNNNNNNNNNNNNNNNNNNNNNNNNNNNNNNNNNNUAUACAGUCAUUGAAUAGCUUGCGUCUCAUGUUUUCCGCUAAAUCAGAGCAAUACUCUCAGUUGCUGUCCUAAUACUCUCAAAGAAGAGAUACUUGAAUUUUAGCACUUAAUUAAGCAUGCCAUGUUGGCUGACAGGUAGUUUUGUGCCAUUUUAGUCUAUGCUCUAAGACCAUGACUUCAUGCAUUCUGUUAGCUUGGCAAAAUAAAUUUAGGUAUAACGUGUGCUUUAAUCUUCUAUUCUUUGUGAAGAGUCAAUUCUAGAGAGCAUAGUUGGCUCAACAAAGCAAAGGUGGUUUCUGACUCGUUCCUUUAUUUUUAUGUGCUAGUAGUUAGAAAAGCAUGAUUAUUAAUAAAUGCAUACUCUGGAUUCCAAACGCUCUUCUUUUCUGACUUCUUACCAAAGCAUUUUGCAUGUUAAAUUUGUAAUGGAGAUUGCUAAAUCUUGUCCAUUGUAACUCAAUAUAUGGCUCAUCUUCAGAUAUGUUGUCAUGUUCGAAGAUUCUUUUUAUGCAAGAACAAACAAGUAUGAUCCUUUUUUUGUUGGCAAUAGGAGAUGUUUACAUUCGUUCAAAAAAGUAAAUUUUAGACUUCCAAUUGGAGCGGAGAAAUACAAUUCUUCGAAAUGAAUAUGAUCUCUUAACACUACUUGCUGUUUAUGUUCUAUAUCUUUGCAAUAGGGGCGCUAGUGUUUCCUUAGGCGCAUUAAUUAGCAAUAUCUGCGAUAUGAUGGCAUUCCAAUUUUCCUUGCUUCCCCGUUUAUAUGGUGGAAUAAUCCCGAUGGGUACACAUUGAUGCAGGGUGGGAUUUUGGGGGCUUCCCUUACUGGCUACUUGCCAUAAAACUAGCACUUACGUUAAGAUCAUCUGAUCCUGCGUUUGUCAAGUUGGUAUGUGUUCCUACUCCAUUUGUCAAAAAUCAAGAAUUGUUGUGCUUCAUGAUAGUGGAACAUUGUGGAAUUGAAUAAUUGCUCUAGAAAAGCUCUUUGAUGUGUUUUGGAUUCCUAAAUAGAUUAUGUUCAUUUUCAGGCUCCAUUUGACCAAUAGAUAAAUCUCUGCAUUCGACUCCUAUUUUGUCAUGUUCAGAGACAUAAGAAAGGUGGCUAGCUUGACUUCCACUUUAUAGAUAGAAGAAAGGUAUAUUGCUUUUCUUACCUCUUUUUGUAUGUUGAUGCUCUCAUAUAUUUUUUCUUUAGAAAUUUUUUUGGUGCCGCAUUUCGAUGUUACCCAUGCUUUUCAGCACAUCCAUCUUAGUCCAGAGAAGUCAUGAUUUUUUCUCAUCUAUUCAGGAGCUUGCUUUAAUAUGGACAAAUUGUCUUAUCCUUUGCAUACUGUUAGUGGCCAGCCUAUGUAAAUCAAGGCUCUCUCGAAAGGAGCUAUUAAUCUGUGCUGANNNNNNNNNNNNNNNNNNNNNNNNNNNNNNNNNNNNNNNNNNNNNNNNNNNNNNNNNNNNNNNNNNNNNNNNNNNNNNNNNNNNNNNNNNNNNNNNNNNNNNNNNNNNNNNNNNNNNNNNNNNNNNNNNNNNNNNNNNNNNNNNNNNNNNNNNNNNNNNNNNNNNNNNNNNNNNNNNNNNNNNNNNNNNNNNNNNNNNNNNNNNNNNNNNNNNNNNNNNNNNNNNNNNNNNNNNNNNNNNNNNNNNNNNNNNNNNNNNNNNNNNNNNNNNNNNNNNNNNNNNNNNNNNNNNNNNNNNNNNNNNNNNNNNNNNNNNNNNNNNNUGAAAGUCGAGUAAAUUUCAGCUGAUGCUGCAUCACUUCGAGUGGAAAAUUUGUGAUUGCUGCUUUCAUGUCUAUGAGGGAAACUUUGUACUGUCGUAUAUAACUGAAAUCUGCUGUGGACCCAAUUAUGGGUGAAGCAAGGGUGCUAUAUUGUGGCAUCAAAGUGACCCAAAUAUUUAUGAAUAUUUAAUGUAUCAUCUAAGUACAUUACUGCAGCAACAGGGUACUCUUGCCAACACCAGGAUCACCUCCCACCAAAAUUAAGGAACCUUUAGAGCCACAAUGCAGCAAAAUCAAUAGCUUUGAUAAAAUUAAGAUCUUCAAAACUUCCAUACAUCUCAAGUGAAAGUUCUAGUACAGCAGCAGAUCUGUGCGGACCAUACAGCCAAAAAGUAGGUCGAACCUGGCACAAGACCACCGCCUAGCACUCUCGAAACCUCCUCUCCAAAGGGUCCAUACCUAAACAUCAAGCACCCCAAGAGAUCAUUUACUUUAAGGAAUUAGGGCGUCAUGCACGUUUCUUUCAAAAUAAAUUAACAGAAGUACUAAUGUGUUACAAUAACCAGCAUGGAUGGUUUCAUCGAGGUGGACAACAGAUUGUCAUCAGGACCAAAGGUCAUGUCAUCACUCUCGUAUUACUAAAGAAAAGGAAAUAUACUAUCAUUCCGGCAAAAUUUCAUCUGAAUCACAAGAUACGCUCUAUGAUCCAACUUCUGGAAGGAUGUUUCGAAGUAAAUUAUGUCAAAUGUAGAUAAGACAAUAAAAUCAACUCGACAACAACUUUUUUCAACUAUUUAUCUUUCUGUAGCAGCUGCAUAUAGGGUCCAAAGCUGACCAGUUACUCAUUUCCCAGAACAGAACAAACUUACAGAGGAAUCCGCCACUCUAACUGCAAAGAGAGAAGCUCGAGAGUAGAAGAAAUCUCUCUGCUCAUUAUGCUACCUUAUGUGCUUUCGUAAGCUCAGAGACCUUGGUAUCACGGACUGAACCAACAUGGGCAUCAAUGCGACUCCGCAGCCUCUCCCGUACGCUAGACGUAUCCCAUUUGGCUUGUUCAAUUACAACAUCUGUUCAAAGUAUGAUACGAAACUUAUCCAUGCAUUCGGUGGUAAAAUUCCCCUAAUAACAAGUCAAAAGUGAGCAUGGCAUGAACACAUACAAAUAGUUUCCUNNNNNNNNNNNNNNNNNNNNNNNNNNNNNNNNNNNNNNNNNNNNNNNNNNNNNNNNNNNNNNNNNNNNNNNNNNNNNNNNNNNNNNNNNNNNNNNNNNNNUUUCACAUUGCCUCUGGUCUCAGACACAAACUUCAUUUCUGACUGAUGCAAGUAAAACAACUAAUAGGCCACCAAAGGAGUGCAAAUGCAAGCACAACAGAGUCAAAGAACCAAGAAAAAGCUUAGUUACAAGACAAAGCACAAUGACAAACCUUCGUUCGUGGCCAAAUUUUUCAAAGCAUUAACUUUACAAAUAUCAGGUUACAAGUUGCCAUACCUGCGCAUCGUUUGUCAAAUAAGGCCAUAUAAGACCGAGUACAGUCACGAGUAGCCACUAAAAACUCUUCCCCUCCUUCCAAAGCCUUGCCAAAUCUUUCCUUGAACUCACCUAGACAUCCAUACAAAAUAUGACCAAGGACUGCUUGGAAAGCUGGUCGUACCAGUUGACGAAACAACAAAACACAAUAAGCAACAUAUGAUAAGAUGUCCUCAACGGACAGUCUCUCUGUGUAAGCUUACUUGAAAUGAAAACAUCCUGACUGAAAGAAAAAUGUGUCAGAAAGGAAAGCUAGCUAGGGCCGUCAAAUGGUUUGCUCUUGAAGUUACGAGAUGGGCCCUAAAGUAUCUCUCGAGCCCAAAAUUCGAAAUGGGCCCCGGCGGACCCGGAACCGGCACUUCGGUCCGUCCUGUGAUGACUUGGAAUUUGGGCCUGCGUGGAUUUUCAUUUGGGAAUUGCCUCUCUCACACGGAGCGACAAAGAAAUUAUGGGAAGACAUAUUGAAUGGGGCUUCAUCAUUGGGGCGAGGGGCUUGACGAUGAGGGAUGUCGGCCGGAGAUGGUGGGGCUAUGUCGGAAGGGUGUGGUGGUAGCUUGGAAGAAACUAAGCUUCGUUGGUUUUGGGAAGAAGAUGGGCAAUCAACGAUAAUCAAGAAGAUUCUCAAAGCCUACCAGAAUCACCAUCAGCCCAGGGGAAGAAACCGAAGGAGUCGUUGCCGAAGAAGUUCCCGGAAUCGGAAGACGACGACGACGAAGAAGCUCUCAACGGCAACCGAAGGGCGCAGGAGGGAUAAGGCGGACUACGGUGGAGGAAUGGUAGUCUCUGGACGGAAGGAGAAGGGACUUCUUCGGUGCGAGGGGAAAGCUAGCUAGGGCCAUCAAAUGGUUUGCUCUUGAAGUUACGAGAUGGGCCCCAAAGUAUCUCCCGAGCCCAAAAUUCGAAAUGGCCCGAAACCGGCUCUUCGGUCCGUCUCGUGCUGACCUGGAAUUUGGGCCUGCGUUGAUUUUCAUUUGGGAAUGCCUCUCUCACACGGAGCGACAAAGAAAUUAUGGGAAGACAUAUUGAAUGGGGCUUCAUCAUUGGGGCGAGGGGCUUGACGAUGAGGGAUGUCGGCCGGAGAUGGUGGGGCUAUGUCGGAAGGGUGUGGUGGUGGCUUGGAAGAAACUAAGCUUCAUUGGUUUUGGGAAGAAGACGGGCAAUCAACGAUAAUCAAGAAGAUUCUCAAAGCCUAUCGGAAUCGCCAUCAGCCCAGGGGAAUAAACCGAAGGAGUCGUUGCCGAAGAAGUUCCCGGAAUCGGAAGACGACAACGACGAAGAAGCUCUCAACGGCAACCGAAGGGUGCGGUAGGGAUAAGGCAGACUACGGUGGAGGAAUGGGAGUCUCUGGACAGAAGGAGAAGGGACUUCUUCGGUGCGAGGGGAAAGCUAGCUAGGGCCGUCAAAUGGUUUGCUCUUGAAGUUACGAGAUGGGCCCCAAAGUAUCUCCCGAGCACAAAAUUCGAAAUGGGCCCCGGCGGACCCGUAACCGGCUCUUCGAUCCGUCCCGUGCUGACCUGGAAUUUGGGCCUGCAUGGAUUUUCAUUUGGGAAUGCCUCUCUCACACGGAGCGAUAAAGAAAUUAUGGGAAGACAUAUUGAAUGGGGCUUCAUCAUUGGGGCGAGGGGCUUGACGAUGAGGGAUGUCGGCCGGAGAUGGUGGGGCUAUGUCGGAACGGUGUGGUGGUGGCUUGGAAGAAACUAAGCUUCGUUGGUUUUGGGAAGAAGACGGGCUGCAAACAGGCCGAGUGCACUAAGCCUUGUGGGAACCGGCCUCAAUAGACCAAGUUUGAUUGCCAAGGAUCUAGAAAUUAGAAUAUUUCUUUCCUUUCUAGGGGGGAAAAAGCUUAGGAAAUUGACACAAUUAGUCAAGAAAAAACAAAAGAGAAAACCUUAGCCGCAAACAAUCGAGCGAACGCUGUCGCGACCGGCGCAGUGUCUCGCAUCAGACACCUGAAUUUUCCGGGAAUCUGUCGAAACAAUUCACGGCCAUGCCUCUCUUUUUUUUUUUUUGGGUCCCACACGAGCUAUUGAUUACGGGGAGGAAAAAUCCAUAAUUUUUUGGCAAAUGAAGCCUAAGGACCUAUGACCAAAAGAAAAAAAAAAGUGUAACGACCUUCAUCUUCAUCUUCAGGUAGCUUUCACGUGUUUGUUCACGUGCAUAUGGGAUCGGCAUCCUAUGUCCGCGUUUCCCUUAUAACAGUUUAAUAUGCCCAAAGACAUUUUCUCCAUCCGCAGAGCCCUAAAAGUACUAACCCCAAAACUGGCCACCCUUUCGACCACCCAUUGCAGCUCUCCUCUUCCUGAUAAUUCCAAAAAGAAGAGAGCAAAUAAUCAAAUAAUCAGCAAAUGUUCGUGGAAUUGAAAAUAUUUCUCACCGCUCUAGUGCACUAGAUUAAAUAGAGCCUCUUUCUUUUUCUUUUCAUUUUUCUUGUGUUAGUGUGUGCGUUGGGGGUGGGGGAUGAUAACAUGCAUUUUAAUGACAAUAAAACGUGCCUGAGUAGUAAUUGUAAAAUAUGGGUUUUGACCCAGUCAAAAAUUACAAAAGAAAAAGGUAGAAGCUUCAGCAGAGAGAGAGAGAGAGAGAGGAAUCGAGAGUUUUCGGGAGAGGGAAAAGAGAAGAGAGAGAGAGAGAGAGAGAGAGAGAGGAAGAAAAAACAGAAAGAAAAAAAAAGAAAAAUGAAAAGAAAAAUGAGGAGAUAAAAAGGAAAGAGAAAAGGAAAGAAGGGGAGAGUGUUAGACCUGAGCAGGUCUUUAAACUGCUCCACCCUGAAUAGGACAUCCCAGGGUGCCUCCCCCCACAACCCAUUUAUAGGGAAAUGAGGGAGCUAGAACACAGAGAGAAGAAGAAAGAGAGAAAGAAGAAGAAGAAGAUAAAAGAAAAAGGGGGGCUUGCACGUUCUCGUCAUGGGAGCCUCACCAAGCCACAUUAACUACGUAACGCAAUGCUUGGUAAGCACUUGUGCUCCCCCUUCGUUCAAUCAGAGUAAUUUUGGACCUAGGGCUUGAAAUUCGGAAUUUUGGGAAAAUCGAGCAACGAAAUAUGAUUUUUGAGUCGUUGAGCUAAGUAUUUUUGUAGAAAUGAUAACUUGGGAUGUUGUGGAGCUGUGGGAUUUUAUGGAUUGUAAUUUGAGCUCAUAGUUUGCCCGAAACAAAAUUUUGAAGUUUAUCGCCCGUGAUGAACAGUGCACGACCAGAAUUUCAGAGCUAUAUUUUGUUUAUUUUCGGCUUGAUUUCAGGUUAGCUAAAUUAGGGUUCUUGUAGUAUGUUGGAUGAGUUUUUCAUUGAUUAUAAGUGCGCUUUUAACGGAGUUCGGUGGAGAAAAUUAUGGCAUGAUGAAGUUUCGUGCUCGCACUUCGCGCUAAGGACAGCUUUGUUUUGGUUGAGUGAUUUAUUAGCGCGUAAGUGUCUUUUUAUCGAUGAUUUAACAUUAUUUAGUCGAGUCGUUAGUUGGAGAGUGGCAUAUUACCUGGUUUUAAUAUCAUUUUCGAUUUAUUAAUAGGAAUACGAGUGCGUUGGCUCAAUUCGACUUUCAUAGGUGAGUGGUGCUAUCUCUUCAAAGAAUUUAUAAGCUCAUGUCUUCAAAAUGAUAAAGAUUUAAUAUUUUAUGAGUUAUAAAUAAGCAUAUUUAUUGCAUAAAAGUUAGAUCGGGCAUUUACUAAGUUUUGAUAUUUGAAAAUAGUGUGAGAACGUUUUAUGAAUAUAUAUUAUGUUUGAUUAACGAAGUUGAGAAAUAUUGCAUGUUUUGAGUUUGUGAAAUCAUUUCACGAAAAGCUCAACUUUGAGAUGAUUUAUGGAAGGUUAUAUAGAUAUUGAUUUGUGAUAAACUUUUUGAAAUAUAUUUGAUUUGAAAUUGAUUUAUGAGACGGGUUUUGAAAUUAUUUGAGAAUGUUUUAUGGAAAUAUUUUUGGUGGAUAAGUUGAGUUGCGAAAUCUUUUUGUGAUAUAUAAAAUGUUUUAUGAAUUUGGGUUUGAGAAUUAUAGAUGGUGUGGUUCUGGAUUGUUGUGGAUGUACAAUAUCGCUGUGAGCCCAACAAGGGGCUUGUGGGGUAUGCGCAUACUAUUUCUAGGAUUAUCCUUGGUAAGCUGAGCUACCGGCUAAUAAUACAUAGNNNNNNNNNNNNNNNNNNNNNNNNNNNNNNNNNNNNNNNNNNNNNNNNNNNNNNNNNNNNNNNNNNNNNNNNNNNNNNNNNNNNNNNNNNNNNNNNNNNNACGGAUUGGUCAAUGGAGUGGACCAUCGACGUGUAAUUUGAGAUUAAUCGUUGGAAUUAACCAUCGACGUGUAAUCUGAGAUUAGUCAUUGGAAUGGAUCAUCAACGUGUAAUUUCAAUUAAAUUAUCGAUGUGUGGUUUGAUGAGAUUAAUCAAUGGAAUAGACCAUUCAUACAUGUUUUAUGAGAUUGACCAAUGGGUUAGACCAUUGGCAUUUUGCCUAUUAUUAUCUUGAAUAUUUUUGCUUUGAACAUGUUGUGUUAAAGUAAGAAAUGUUAUAUUUUGGCCCUAAAGGUUUGUUAAAUUUCUGGAUUUUGUGUGGUAUAAGAUUAAUAAAUAGAAUGAACCAUUGGCGUGUGAAUUAAUGAGAUUGAUAAUUGGAUUAUACCACUAUAAAUAUAGCUAUGUUGAAGCGUAUGUAACUUAUUCUUUUUACUGUAUGUUUGUUAUAUCCUAAAUUUGAGUUAGAAGAGUUGUAAUUUGGUUUUGUAAAUAUGCAUAGUGGGUGCUCGAUCCGCUUAGAAGAGAUGCACUACUCACUGAGCCAUGGUUGCUCACCCCUCUAUUUUCCAUUCUUUUUCAGGUUCCUUGACUAACGAUGAAUAGAUCAGAGAGCGAUAUGGAUGUGGGGACUUUUAAGAGUUGGAUUUUGGGAGCUUUAAGGCCGCGUCCUUUGAGUGGAAGGACGGCCGUGUCAUCCCCCAUUCUUGUUGAUUUUGGGGUGUGACGGUAAUUCUUCCUUCAUUGCUCAAUCAAUGGUGUGCUACAUCUCUGCAAUAAAUUGCAUCCAUAGUGUUUUGCACUCCUGGGGCAUGAUCAGUGUUUCGAACGAAGGAAUCUGCAAUUAAAUAAUGAGUGUAAGUGCUCUCAGCAAAUUGAAGAUUUGCAUUAAUUGGAACCAGCACGAUAAAAGCAAAACUCACAUCUUCCAACGUGCUUAAAGCCAAGCGAUCUAUGCUCCCGUCAGUGGCAUAAGGUUUGUUGUCCAACAAUCGAACUAACAAAAGUUGUUCAAUAUUAUCCUUCUCACCAUCCAAACGAAUUGCCGCCAUUGCAGACAGCAACCUUAAUGACUGCAAGCGUCAUUGAAUCGUUUCUUGUGAAAGAUCCACAAGCAAGCAACAGGAGAAACAUGAAAAAUGUUUGUCACAUAUAAAUUUUGCAUACUGCCAAACGAGCUUGUCGUGCGAUAUCUCAAACAUCCUCCCUACUUCUCCAGACUCUAUCCACAUAGUUAACAUCAUGGCUAAACAGUGUAGCAAAACUAGAUAGAAAAUGAAGCACAUAAGGAUUUCAAGUACUAUUGAAUCUAACCCAUGAGUAAAUCGCAAACUUAAAGAUGCCUACCACUCCUUCAUUAGCUCAACAACCUUUCGAGAUACUUUAUUUGCUCUUUUUCGUACGACAGACCUUCCAUAAUCUUUCAUAACAUCCAGCCUUCCUUCCUUCAUCUAUUGAUCCAUCUCAUAAGAAGAGAGGGCACUAGAGAACCAACUUAUGGCCAACAUAGUCUUGCGCGAAAGAAGUGUCAUGAUGGCCGACCAGGUUUCACUAGUAGCUCACUUAAAAAGAGCUUCCACUGGUCCAAACAAUGCUUCCUUCAAUCUUGCCUGUAAAAACAUGAUAUAAUUCGUGCAGAUCCCAUCAACCACCAUUAAGUAAAAAAGGGAAAAGCCCUCCAUCUGUAAAGAGAGGCGCGAGACUAUGUUGGUCAUAAGUCGAUUCUCUAGUGCCCUCUCUUCUUAUGAGAUGGAUCAACAGAUGAAGGAAGGAAGGUUGGAUGUUAUGAAGAUUAUGGAAGGUCUAUCGUAUGAAAAAGAGCAAAUAAAGUAUCUUGAAGGGUCGUUGAGCUAAUGAAGGAGUGGUAGGCAUCUUUAAGUUUGCGAUUUACUCGUCGGUUAGAUUCAAUAGUAGCUCCCUUCAAAAGAGCUUCCACUGGUCCAAACAAUGUUCCUUCAGUCUUGCCUGUAAAAACAUGAUAUAAUUCGUGCAGAUCCCAUCAACCACCAUUAAAUAAAAAGGGGAAAAGCCCUCCAUCUGUAAAGAGAGAAGCUCGAGAGAAGAAGAAAUCUCUCUGCUCAUUAUGCUACCUUAUGUGCUUUCGUAAGCUAAGAGACCUUGGUAUCACGGACCGAACCAACAUGGGCAUCAAUGCGACUCCGCAACCUCUCCUGUACGCUAGACGUAUCCCAUUUGGCUUGUUCAAUUACAACAUCUGUUCAAAGUAUGAUACGAAACUUAUCCAAGCAUUCGGUGGUAAAAUUCCCCUAAUAACAAGUCAAAAGUGAGCAUGGCAUGAACACAUACAAAUAGUUUCCUAAAUGCCCAGAGUGUUAUUUACCAACAAGACCAUAUUUUCACAUAGCCUCUGGUCUCAGACACAAACCUUCAUUUCUAACUGAUGCAAGUAAAACAACUAAUAGGCCACUAAAGGAGUGCAAAUGAAAGCACAACAAGAGUCAAAGAACCAAGAAAAAGCUUAGUUACAAGACAAAGCACAAUGACAAACCUUCGUUCGUGGCCAAAUUUUUCAAAGCAUUAACUUUACAAAUAUCAGGUUACAAGUUGCCAUACCUGCGCAUCGUUUGUCAAAUAAGGCCAUAUAAGACCGAGUACAGUCACGAGUAGCCACUAAAAACUCUUCCCCUCCUUCCAAAGCCUUGCCAAAUCUUUCCUUGAACUCACCUAGACAUCCAUACAAAAUAUGACCAAGGACUGCUUGGAAAGCUGGUCGUACCAGUUGACGAAACAACAAAACACAAUAAGCAACAUAUGAUAAGAUGUCCUCAACGGACAGUCUCUCUGUGUAAGCUUACUUGAAAUGAAAACAUCCUGACUGAAAGAAAAAUGUGUCAAAAAGGAAAAAUAUUUCCACGUUCCAAGCAGCUUGAAGUGGUAGUCAUACAAUAGAACCCAAAAAAGUGAAGCACUUUAAGCAAGGAAAACCACCCCCAUAACUUCUUACUCGAACUGACCAUUUUUCAAGCUACUUCCGCUCUUAGAUCUGACAUUCCCAUCGAAAUGCGUAGUCUGUGAUUCGUACCUAAUAAGGGCCACAAAAAAUUAUAUAGAUGAUACGUACUUGUAGUGAUAAAUAAAUUUCUAAUCCUGACAGAACAUAAUCUUCACCCAAAAAUAAAACCAGGAAACAUCACAAACAGAAGGCCAAAUUAAGAUAAGCCGUCAGCUAGGCAACUGCUAUACUGUGACUAGCCAUUAAUCUCCUACCAUCAAGUAAAUUGAUCAAUCAAACAAUAAGACGAUUGCUCAAAAGCAACCAUUCAAUCAGUUGAAAUAAUACUCAGAUUGCGAAGGAAGGGGGGCCAUUUCAAGCUGGAAUGAUUACUUGAACAAAAUAGUUAUAUCUCAUCUACACAGGCUAGACCUCAACAGUUAUAUCUCAUCUACUCAGGCUAGAACUCAACAAUUAGAUAGUAGAUAUAUCAGAGGCAAACUUGUACAACCUAAAAUCAAACAAUAUAAAAUUCAAAAAAGCUGAGGCUUCCUUUGUGUUUGCUCUUUAAAAAAAAUGCACUUGUUCCAAGAAAAGAAAAUGCUUCUACUGCUCCCACUUCACGUAAGCCAGGAAAAACUCAGAAACAACAUUCUUAAAAUUAAGAACAUGGAGCCGAUUGUGUUGGAUAACCUUAAUGCACUUGCAUUAUUUAAUGAACAUAAAAUCCAGUUGCCGCACCACCAUCUGUAACUCAUCAAAUAAUAAUAUUACUCAUCUUACCCAAAUAAACACGUGUCAAGAAUGGAACUUAGUUUCUUUCCAAAACCAGGAAUUGCUCCCAACCUCCUUCAUCGAAAGCCAGUCCUAACAUGUUAAGAAGAGUUCGCCUGAUCUUAAUAUGUGUAAGAUAAAUUGCAUAUGCUUGCAUUUCAUAAUAAUGAAACAUGACAAGUAAGUUUCAUGUCCAGCAAGAACCAGAUCAAUACCUCAUUUUCAGUAAGACUGGAAUAUUAUUCGUCGGCAAUUUCUUCACAUCGUAUGUGAGCAACCAUGACCUUAACACGGAUAGCAUGAUGGGUCCAUUAUCAUUCUCAUUAUCAGCAAUAUAUCCAGUCGCCCUUCAAUUAACACUCACCCUGUGUGCAGGCAAGUCCAAGUCCUUAUUCUCCUUAAUGACCAUCCAAAUACGCUGAGCACUAAAACAAAAUCCUGAACCAGGAACUGCCCUCUUCGAUCUCCUGCCAGCCCACCAGGUGCGGUACUAUCCAAGAACCACCCUCUAAGGGCAUCCACCUGUUCGUCCAAGGAAAUUCGACCAUAUGGCAAAAGAUUAGUGCAGAGAAAGGGUAAAAUCCAUUUGGCAAUCAAUGCUCCAAAUUCCAUAAUACAGAGUACAAGAAGAUGAGAUGGAAACAUAACACGUCUCAAACUACAAUUGAUUAAGAAUGUGAACAGAAGAGUAAUGAAAAUCACCAAACUCAAUAAGGGAUGACUGACCAAUGAUAACCCCAGAGAAAUCAGAAAUAGCAGUCGAUGAUGAGUGGCAUUUCCACAGAUAUUCCGAAACUCAUGCAUACGAGGACCGAAGCUUUGUCCUAAACAGUACUCAAGCACAGGAUUUAUGCGAAAGAAAGGGCGCCCACUGUGGCAUUUGAAAAUCUUGUCGAGACACAACAACAAUGCCGACAUAAAAAUUGGGCAAUCGUAUUCAAGGUCCAAACGUGCUUCUAUGGGAUGCAAGGUAAGUAUACCUCAUCUUUAAAUCGCUCUUCCUCUUCUUCAUAAUCAGAAAGAGCAGCGACCUCAACCUGAAAAGCAGAAGAGAGUCAUUAGGUUGAACUUCAUUUCGACGAUUAGAGGCAAAAGCAAAUCAUCGAGAGGAACUCAUACAAGCAUCGGAGCACCUACAUUAAAAAAAUGACCGACAGGAGUUCCCUUGUGCUGCUCUGACUUAGGAAUACUGUCCCAUAUCUGCAGGAAAAUACUAAAUGAAACCAGCAACGGCUUUACAAAGUCGAUUUUCCAAAGGAAAUGCAACAACCCUCACCUCCCGCACUUCUUCUCUCAAGGCAGCUCCUAGACAUUCGAAAGGAGUCUGGAUAAAAAGAAAAACCAGAGAGCAUAUAAAAAAUAAAUAAAAAUCAACUCAGAUGGGCAAAACUUACCGGAUGCAACCAAAACGAGCAAAUAAAAACCAUCACAAUCCGAAAUGGAAACAUGACUAAGUAUAGGUACUGAUGGUUUUAAUUGAUAUUGGGCUUAGGGCCCGUCCGCCCAUGCUGGGCCCAAAAGGCCCGGCCCACGGGAAUAGGGCCCGUGGAAGGGGAAGGUAUAAAAGGGAGGAGAGAGAGAGAGAAGACAACGUUUGGCUGAACGUACGUACGUUCUCUUCCUCGCUCUCUCUCCAAAAAGACAAAAAGAACAGUAAGGCAAACGGCACGUUCUUCUUCCCUUCAAGGCGCCAUCGGAUCGAACAGGACCAGAAUUUCUUCUCGAUCUUCAGCGUCGGUGUUUAAUCUGUGGCUAACAAGGUACGCUCGAAUCCGUGGUGUGCUUUACGAUCGGUGAUGCGUGUUUUCCCGGGCUUCGUCUUCCGCAUUGAUUUAGGGGUUCGAUUUAGUGUCGAAUCCGGCUUUCGGGGAUCAGUCAUUCCCAACAUUGGUAUCAGAGCCCUAGUUCACGUUUUUCCCGAUCAAUUUGAUGUUUUUUGCUUGACUUUUCGCAAAAAAAUUUCGGCCGUACGGAUCGGGGCGUCAAAAUCCCGACACCCGAGUACUGUACGUCCUGUUUUCUGAGUUUCCGUAAGUCGGAAUCAAAUUCUGAAGGCACUGGGUGAAAGGCGACGUCGAGACGAGUCCGGCGACAUGUCGUGCGUCGCCGGACGACGCUGCACGGGCCCACACGCGCGGCCACAAGCCGCUGCGCGUGGGCGCCACGCGCCCGAAGCGCUGGCUAUGGCCAGCGCGUGCGCAACACGCGCCGGUGACGAACCGGCACGUGCGCGCCGGCGACCGGCGAAACGGCACGCGCCGGUCCGCGGACCGACGCGUGCUGACGUCACGUGAUGACGUCACCGUGACGUCAUCACCAACGGUCGGUAACCGCUCGGAUGACGUCACCGAUGACGUCAUCACCAACGACGGUUGGCCGGCCGGCUACCCGACCCGACGGCGACCCGACCCGACCCGAUCAGCCUGGCGCAUGCCGCGCACGUGCGGCUGACGUCUGCGUGACGUCAGCACCCUCACGCGCGAGGCACGUGCCAGAUGACGUCUGCGUGACGUCAGCCAGCGCACGCGCGCGGCACGUGCGGUCGGUUCGUCCGACCGGCACGGCCGGUCCGACCGGCCCGACCCGUGACCGUUGACCGACCGUUGACCGUUGACUUUGACCGUUGACCCGGAAAAAAAAAAAAAAAAAAAAAAAAAAAAAAAAGAAAAAAAAAAAAGAAAAAGGAAUUUGUUUCUUUUUUCUAUUAUGUCUGUGUGGGUUGUAGGUAAUCCAUUUUUAUUUUGCAUUUGUUGCAUGAAUCAUGGAAAUUUAUGUAUUUUCCAUUUUGUUUAUUAUGGAUUAUAAGUGAUCCAUUUUAGUUCUGCAUUUGUUGCAGGAACUAUGAUGCGUUAUGCACAGAUACCUGCAAUCCCAAGAACGGACGAAGGAAGAGCUAGACUAAAAAGGCUGAUGAAAGAGUUAGCUGAUUAUCGGUGGCUUGAUGGUGAUUUAGUAUCACACAUGGUUAAGGUCAAUCAGAUGAUACAGGAAAUCAUCUGGAAUGGUUAUCUUAUGCCGGACUUUGAGAAGGUGCCGGCUUUGAUGAACACUCUUCCACCUGAAUGGCAAGCAGUGUUAGAUCGGCUAUGGGAGGUCAACGUGGUCCCGGAUUACAGGGGGCUAGUGGAAGCUUUUGUAAGAGAAUACUAUAGGAUUGAGUUGGCCAAAACUUCAACCCUUAGAUUGAGCGCCACAUGGCGCAGAGUGAAUGCGCCUUGGUGGCGACAUGAGAGCUCUCCAAAAGUUUUUCCAUGGUUGGCAAAUGUGCCUUCAAAUUUCUCAGAUAUUAUGGCUGAUAGAUUAGAAGGGACAUUCCCUAUUUAUUUCUUUGAUUAAUUAUGUAAUGUUUACUACCUGAUUGUUGUUGAUGUAGCAAUCGAUAUGUUAGUUGUAUCAUGUGAAAGCAUUGUUAUUUUAUUCGAUGUUAAGAUUUUAUUUGCUUUCUGCUAUUGCUGGUUGCUAUGGGUAAUUAGCUGUGGGUAGUAAUAGAAGUUUUUGUAACUUCAUAGAAUUUAUUUGCAUAAGAUAAUUAUAUUAAUAAUAAUUUUGAGUUAGGAUUUUUGGAGGAUGAUUGGAAACAUAGUGACCUUUUGAUUCUGAAGCCUUACUUGAAAUUAUUCAUUAAUAUAAUGGGUCUAUGCAAAUAGGGAUGCAUAAAUGAUAGGCAUUAAUUAUUCGUGCAUGUAUGUCUGAUGUGUUCAGAACGAUGGUUCAGCAACUAAGAAUGUAAUUGCUGAUAUGAACGGCUACAAUUGUGAAAUAUUGAAUAUGAAGAUUCAAUAUGUGCUGGAAAAGCAAGAAGCACUAGAAGCUCUUGACCAUGUUAUGGAAGAUCUUGAGAAUGCUGUGCGCCACCUUGAGCUGGUAGAGGACCGCUUAACGGCAUGUGAGCUGAGAAUAGAUAUUUGCAAUGCUGGUUCUAGCUCAUAAAGGGUUUUGAGCUCUAAGCGCAAGCGUAUUGAUUCGUUCAAUAUGUGGGAAUGCAAAGGAUCAAAUCCUUAUUGCAAGAGAUCAAAAGUUAACCAACACAAGAGAGGAAAACGUCCUCAAGUGAAGAAAAUGUCAAGGGUGAAAUGUUACAACUGUGAUAAGAAGGGUCACUAUGCUCGCGACUGUCGUGAGCCAAAGAAGGUAAACACCUUUUGUACAUUUGAGAACUUUGAUUAUGUGUCAAGUUCUGAAUUAUUGGCUGAAUCCAAUCCUUUGUGGACUGUAGAUUCAGGAGCAACAGACGAUGUAGCGAAGGAUAAAGGAUCCUUCGUGGAAUUCCGACGAAUACCAACUGGAACUGAGUGGAUCUAUGUGGAAAACAACUCCAGAGCUGAAGUUAAAAGGAUUGGCACCUGCCAACUGAACAUGUGUGGUGGACGCAACUUGUUCCUGCAUGAUGUUAUAAAUGCUUUGGAGAUUCGUCAAAAUUUAAUUGUCUAUUUUGAUGUUGGUUAAGCUUGGUUUUAGUGUGAACUUCCGUAAUAACGGUGUAGAUUUGUAUUUGGAUACAAAUUACUAUGGUUGUGGUCACUUUCUGGAUGGUUUUAUUGUACUGAAUGUUGACUGAGGUGAUGUCAAUAUGUUAUUCCCUUGUUUCACGUCUUUUACUUCAUGUGAUAAUGAUGUGAAUGUGUGGUAUGCUAGACUUGGUCAUAUUGGCCAACAACAUAUGAAUAGACUAGCCAAAGGGGGCUUGUUGGGCAAUAUUGAAAAAGUCGAUUUGUCCAUAUGUGAGCAUUGCCUAGUAGGGAAAACGACAAGGAAACCAUUUGGAAAAGAUAAAAGAGCUGACGUUCCUCUGCAUUUAAUCCAUUCUGACGUUUGUGGUUCAAUGAAUGUGAGAGGAAGGCAUAGGACUGUUUACUUCAUCACUUUUAAUAGAUGAUUAUACUCGAUUCGGAUGUGUCUAUUUGAUUUCUCAUAAAUCUGAAGCAUAAGUUGUUUCAAAAGGUUUAAUGAACUUGGUAGAAAAUCAAUUAGACAAGAAAAUAAAAGCAUUGAGAUCCAAUCGAGGUCGAGAAUAUUUAUCUGAUGAGUUCAGAAAAUAAUGUGAUGAAAAGGAAUAGAAAUACAGUUGUCUAUUCCAUAUACUCCUCAACAAAAUGGUGUUGCAGAGAGAAGAAACAGAACCCUACUGGAAAUGGUUAGGUCCAUGAUGGCGCAUGCUAACUUACAUAUCACUUUUUGGAGUGAUGCGUUGUUAACUGCUGCCUAUAUACUUAACCGGGUGCCUUCCAAAAUCAGUUAGUUCCACUCCAUAUGAGUUAUGGACAGGUAGAAAACCGGACUUAAGUUUUCUUAAGCCAUGGGGUUAUGCUGCCUAUACUCAUGAGUCCUCUCACAAGUUUGGGAAAUUGGGUCCUAAAGGAAAGAAGAGUAUUUUAAUGAGAUACUCCGAACACUCGAAAGGGUAUGUGUUCAUAGGUGAGCAGGAAAGUGGGAGUAUGACUAAAUUUGAAUCACAGGAUGUCACAUCCUUAGUGGAUGAAUUUCCUAAGAGGGGCGAAAUAGGAGAAUAUUGUUUCCUAUUUGAAACCUUGGAUCAAGAUAAUGAUAUUAGUGGAGUUCGUCCAAGUGGGAGUAAUAUGAGAAGUGAUGAAUUGAAUUCAACUCAUUCUCAAUUACAACCACAUGAUGAGAUGAUAUCGUCAUUAUCUAAUCCGAGUGGGAGCAUAAUUGGGAAUGAUGUGCUAAGUGUACUAUCUCCCAUACGGCGAACAAGUCGCCACUUUUAUAAUUGCUCCACAAGAUGAGGAUGAGCCAAGAAAUAUUAAUGAGGCUCUGAAUUGCCCUAGUAAGGAAAAAUGGAUUAAUGCAAUGGAAGAGGAAAUUGAGUCAAUGAAAUCAAACCAAGUCUGGGAACUGGUUGAUCUUCUAAGAGGGCGCAGAGCUAUUGGGAACAAGUGGGUUCUCAAAAUAAAGCGAAAGGCUGAUGGCUCGAUAGAAAGGCAUAAGGCUCACCUUGUGGCGAAGGGGGUAUAAUCAACAGGAAUGAAUUGAUUAUGAAGAUACAUUUUCUCCUGUAGUGAGAUUUACCUCGAUUCGCAUUAUUCUGGCAAUAAUGGUUAGUAUGGAUCUUGAGUUACAUCAAAUGGAUGUAAAAACUGCUUUCCUCAAUGGAGAAUUAGAGGAAGAAAUAUAUAUGGAACAACUUGUUGGUUUCAUAGUGAAAUGCCAAGUUGAGAAAAUGUAUGUCGACUUUGGGGGUCGAUAUAUGGCCUUAAGCAGUCGUCAAGACAAUGGUAUAUACGUUUUCAUAAUACCAUAAUGGCAUAUGAUUUUACAAUGAUAGAUGAGGAUCAUUGUGUAUAUAUCAAAAGAUCCAAUGAUCAAUUUGUGAUCAUAUCAUUAUAUGUUGAUGAUAUACUAAUUGCUGGAAGUAAUAUGGAGUUUGUCAAUACAAUCAAAAGUUGGUUGUCUUCCAAUUUUGAAUUGAAGGAUAUGGAAUAUUAAACCCAUAGACACUCCUAUUGCAAAAGGUGAAGGAUUGAGCCAUAGACUGUGUCCAAGGACUCCACAAGAGAAGGAACAAAUGAAACAUGUUCCUUAUGCUAGUGCUGUUGGGAACUUGAUGUACACUAUGAUGUGUACAAGACCUGACAUAUGUUUUGCAGUUGGAAUGGUGAAAAGAUACCAAUCCAAUCCAUGUCAAGCACAUUGGAAAGCCGUUAAGAGAAUACUGAGGUAUCUAAAUGGAACUGCUGAUUAUAUGCUGAGUCAUUGAGGAAAGGAUCUGCGACUCUAAAGCUAUUAUGAUGCUGAUUGAGAAGGAGAUUUAGAUGAAAGAAAAUCUAUCUCUGGGCUUGUUUUCUUACCGAAUAAUGGCACCAUAUGUUGGAGCAGUAAGAAACAAAAGUGUAUAACCUUGUACACGAUGAAAGUAGAGUUCGUGGCAUUAUCAGCAGCAGUGUAAGAAGGUGUUUGGCUUAAGAGAUUUUUUGGAUCAUUUAGGUGUUAUUGAAAGUGCUGCAGAUUCAUUGUUGGUUAACUGUGAUAGCCAAGCAGCAAAAGUGUACACCAAAGAUCCAAAAUAUCAUGGCAAGACCAAACAUAUAGAUACCAAGUAUAAUUUCGUCAAAGAUAUGGUUGCACGAAAAGAUGUGAACUUAUAGUAUAUACUACGCAUAGAAUGGUAGCAGAUCCUAUGACAAAGCCAAUACCUAGAGAUGUGUUUUGUGGCUAUAUGAAAUCUCUAGGAUUGUGUAGAGGCUGAUGUACUGAAUAUUGUAAUUUUCCUAAGUGUUCACAAUUUGAUGAAUUUGUGUUUUCAUCAUUAAUGCCUAUGAAUCUUUGUUUGAUCUUUAUGCAUCUUAAUGCUCAGUGCAUUACUUUAAGUUAAGAGAAGUAUGUCAGACAGAUAUAAGAUUAGCCCACUCACACGGGUAAUCGCCUCUAUUUACUGUGUGAUAAAUAGAGAUGAGACUGUUUUUAAGCUUAUUAUCUAGGUGAUAAUCGAGAGCUCAAGCUUAAAACACGUAUGUCGCCUUAACUAGGUGUUAAGAUGAGGACAUAAUACUUACUAUGUUCGAGAGUAAAAUACUCCACAUAUUUUACUUUAUCUGUCUAUGAUGCCAGAUGUGAGUUCUGAUGAAUUUAGUGAAUGAGUAGAUACGUAAACUCAAAUUAGACAUUGGGUAUGUCUGAACUAUCAUCUGUACAGUAUUGAAAGGUGUAGACAUACGCUCCAUGGGAAAGGAGUUGAUACCGUAAUACGUAUUUCAUACUACGUAUGCAUGAGACGACCAAUAAGAGUGGCAAAAGUUUGAUCUCAACUUUUUUAUGUCGUGUGAGACUCUUGAGGAAAAGAGUUCCUCAAUUUUUUAGUCCCCUCAUGACUCUUACUUAUUCUCAAGAUUUCUAUUUAGUGUUUGCUAUCUUAGGAUGUUGCCAAUGGUCAUGAGUUUGAUUCGAUCUAAUGGGGCAUUUCUAGAAAAGCAAGCUGAACUGAAAUUGAGAGUUUGAAGGGAAGAGGAAGAUUGAUUUUGGAGAAUCACAUUAUAGUUUUGUAUUCACCGGUUAACCAAUUAUGACUGUCUUUGGGAUAAUUAUAAUUGUGAAUACAAUACAUAUAUCAUUGUUUGAAAGAGAUCAAGAGAGAUAUAAAUGUGAUCGAUCGAUCUAGGGUACUGCAUACUAAAUCUACUCGGAGUGUGAUGCCCAUUAUGAGCUGCUAUAUAUUCCUAACAGAUGUAUGGCAACGAGCUCUCAAAGUAUGCUGGUCGCACGGAUUAUUCACCGGUAUGAAUGUUGAAGAGAGGUAAAGAGAAUUCUGUUUGGCCCACCAUGUGCGAGUGGGAGAUGAUGGUUUUAAUUGAUAUUGGGCUUAGGGCCCGUCCGCCCAUGCUGGGCCCAAAAGGCCCGGCCCACGGGAAUAGGGCCCGUGGAAGGGGAAGGUAUAAAAGGGAGGAGAGAGAGAGAGAAGACAACGUUUGGCUGAACGUACGUACGUUCUCUUCCUCGCUCUCUCUCCAAAAAGACAAAAAGAACAGUAAGGCAAACGGCACGUUCUUCUUCCCUUCAAGGCGCCAUCGGAUCGAACAGGACCAGAAUUUCUUCUCGAUCUUCAGCGUCGGUGUUUAAUCUGUGGCUAACAAGGUACGCUCGAAUCCGUGGUGUGCUUUACGAUCGGUGAUGCGUGUUUUCCCGGGCUUCGUCUUCCGCAUUGAUUUAGGGGUUCGAUUUAGUGUCGAAUCCGGCUUUCGGGGAUCAGUCAUUCCCAACAGGUACCAACCCUCCUUGUUUUAUCCCGCAAUACGAAUACGAUAGUUGUUUUCCUUGGACAAAACAAUCGCAUCAUGGCCUUCAAGAAGAGUCGCAACUUUAUCAUAACUCUUAAAACUAAACAUUUAGCUUAUCUUAAGGCAAGAGGACAAGAAACACCUGGAAUACAGGUUUCAGAAAAGGCUUGCUGGCAGCUUGUGCACGGCCAAUAUAAUGACCCCACCUAUGAAAAAGAUGCUAAAAAGAAGACAAGAAAUACCUGGAAUACAGUUUUGAGCAGAAACCUGCUCCCAGCUUGCUCAAGGCCGACCCAACGACACCAUCUAUGAAAAGAUGCUUAGAAAGGGCAUUAGGAAAAUACAAAAACAACAACCUCGUAGAUAACGCUGCAGAAAUAGAAACAGUAUCUCACUAGAGGAAAGCAAAAGCCUCACAUGUUUGUGAGCACUAUAUCGGAGACAGCCAAAGCAAAAAGAGCGCUCUGCUUUUCGAAGGAAGUAUCGUCCUGUAUAAAAAUGACACCGGUUAAGCAGCUGCAAGAAUGCUAAUUGCUGCCUACUCAAACCAAGUGUAAAUCAGGUGAAUUUCAAUGAGCGUCAGCUACACAUAAAUCAACCUUCUGGGUUGGUAAGAUGAGAAAAGCCAUACAAAAGUGGAAAAGCUACAGCAGCUACCCGAUGAACAAAUGGAAAAGCUACAGCAGCUACCCGAUGAACAAAUUAACGUUUCAACAUGUACAAAAAAUUAGAAUUCGCAAUUACAUAUGGACAAAAAUAAGUAGUUGAACAUGGACAAAUUAAGCUAUUAUAUAUCCAUGCAAAAUCAUCUAGUAAAUACACCUGUCUUACUUUUCCAUCCGUCCCCUCCAAGUCCAUAACUAGAGUGCACGGUUCAAUCCCAACAGCUUUCGCGAUCCAUAUUCCUUCGGUGGUUUGGGACCUGAAAAAAUAACAACCUGGCUUUGGACAUUUUUCCUAAUCCAAAUCACUUGAGUGACCUAAAGGACGGUUCAAAAACAUACCUCCCUCUGGAUCCAUUUCCCUGAACUUUGUGCCAACCAGUGCAUUCACAGCGUGCUCUUGCCUGUCAGAAUCAAUAGAAACUUUUGUCGUAAAACAUUGAAAAAAGAAAAAAAAAAACAUUUUGUCCAAGAAAUACCACCUAUAUAUAACUUCACUGAAAAUUAUCACAAGCAAUAUAUCCCGAAAGAAUGCUAAGUUAUUUCUAGUUAAACAUAAGAAAUCCAAUUAAGAAGAAAAAUAUCCACCGAGCAAAAGUAGUGACUAGGUUUCUAAACAAACUGAGUAGCCAAGCUAUUCAAUAGCAAGAUAGGAACUCACUGCUCUGAGCCUUUGCCCAGCCCCAAUUUUGGAGAGUGCGCAUGUGAUGAUAUCGGAUAGUUUCUCAAAAAUGCUUUGGUGCCCUAUUAAUUGCAUAGAUAAUCAUUAGAUUAUCACAAAGAAAUGUUGAUUUAACGCUUUAUUUCUCUUUUAAUCUAUCCGACCAUAUAAAUUGAAUAAAUGAUCAAGAUAUACUGUUCGGGAAAGGGUUUGAUCACGAACUUAUGUCCAGAUUUAACGCUUAAUUGUAUAUCCCUUUUAGUCUAUAAUCGGGAGUAUGUUUGUUAUCACAUGUUCUUUGUUAUGAAAGUUGUGCCGAUUUUUCAUGGACAGAUGACCCUGCUAAAUGUUCCCUUACUCAAUUCAUAGACGCAAGGGGUGCUUUCAAGAUCCAUGCAUUAGAAAAAUUCAUCAAUGAUGUGAGAUUGGAGGAAACAAGCGUUUCAUACGUUGUCAUUUCUAUAUUCGGGGCUCAGAGCAGUGGUGAGUUCCUAUCUCUCAGUUUGUUUAGAAACCUAGUCACCACUUUUGCUCAGUGGAUACUUUUGCUUCUUAGUUGGAUUUCUUAUGUUUAAGUAAAAAUAACUUAGCAUUCUUUCGGGAUAUAUUACCUGUGAUAAUGUUCAGUGACUUUCGGGAUAUAUUGCCUGUGAUAAUUUUCAUCGAAGUCAUAUAUAGGCGGUAUUUCUUGGACGAAAUUUUUCUUUUUUUUUCAAUAUUGUACGACAAAAGUUUCUAUUGGUUCUGACAGGCAAGAACACGCUGUUGAAUGCACUAUUUGGCACAAAGUUCAGGGAAAUGGAUCCUUCAAGAGGGAGGUAUAUUUUUGAACGGUCCUUUAGGUUCUAGUGAUUUGGAUUAGGAAAAAUGUCCAAAGCAGGUUGUUAUUUUUUCAGGUCCCAAACCACCGAAGGAAUGUGGAUCGCGAAAGCUUGUGGGAGUGAACCGUGCACUCUAGUUAUGGACUUGGAGGGGACGGAUGGAAAAGUAAGCCAGGUGUAUUUACUAGAUGAUUUUGCAUGGAUAUAUAAUAGCUUAAUUUGUCCAUGUUCAACUACUUAUUUUUUUUCCAUAUGUAAUUCUAGAGUGACCUAAAGGACGGUUCAAAAACAUAGAAAAGGGAUCCAUUUCCCUAAACUUUGUGCCAAAGAGUGCAUUCAACAGCGUGCUCUUGCUUGUCAUAACCAAUAGAAACUUUUGUCGUAAAACAUUGAAAAAAGAAAAAGAAAAACAUUUUGUCCAAGAAAUACCGCCUAUAUAUGACUUCACUGAAAAUUAUCACAGACAAUAUAUGCUGAAAGUCAAUGAACAUUAUCACAGACAAUAUAUCCCGAAAAAAAUGGUAAGUUAUUUCUAGUUAAACAUCCAAUUAAGAAGCAAAAGUAUCCAUAGUGACUAGGUUUCUAAACAAACUAAGUAGUCAAGCUAUUCGAUAGCGAAAUAGGAACUCACCAUUGGUCUGAACCCGAAUAUACAAACAACGACGUAUGAAACACCCAUUUCCUCUAAUCUCAUGUCACUGAUGAAUUUUUCUAUUGCAUGGAUCUUGAAAGCACCGCUUGCGUCUAUGAAUUGAGUAAGCAGGGUCAUUUGUCCAUGAAAAAUCGCCACAGCUUUCAUAACAAAAAACAUGUGAUAACAAACAUACUUCUGAUUAUAGACUAAAAGGGAAACACAAUUAAGCAUUAAAUCUGACAUACUUUCGUCAUCAAACCCCUUCCCGAACAGUAUAUUUUGAUCAUUUAUUCAAUUUAUAUGGUCGGAUAGAUUAAAAGAGAAAUAAGGCAUUAAAUCAACGUAUUUUUGUGAUAAUCUAAUGAUUAUCUAUGCAAUUAAUAGCUGCCUGUAUCGACAACCGGCAACGGAGGAGACUCCAUGAUCGGCGAAUCCCAAGCGCUCAUCCCUCAAUCACAGAGCACCUGUUCAACAGAAACCGAAACUCUACAGAUCACCGACCAACUUGCAAUAUCCAACGGACUGCCUCGCGAAAUUCGCCUAAAAACAAUGGGGCAAUCAAUGAUAAUCAAGAAGAUUCUCGAAGCCUACCGGAGUCUCCGGACGGAAGGAGAAGGGACUUCUUCGGUGCGAGGGGAAAGUAUUAGUAAUAGCUACUAGCUAGGGACAUCAAAAUGGUUUGCUCUCGAAGGUACGAGAUGGGCCCCAAAGUAUCUCCCUAGCCCAAAAUUCGAAAUGGGCCCCGACGGACCCGGAACCGGCUCUUCGGUCCGUGCCGUGCUGACCUGGAAUUUGGGCCUGCGUGGGUUUUCAUUUGGGAAUGCCUCUCUCACACGGAGCGACAAAGAAAUUAUGGGAAGACAUAUUGAAUGGAGCCUCAUCAUUGGGGCGAGGAGCUUGACGACGAGGGAUGUCAGCCGGAGAUGGUGGGGCUAUGUCGAAAGGGGGUGGUGGUGGCUUGGAAGAAACUAAGCUUCGUUGGUUUUGGGAAGAAGACGGGAUGCAAAUGGACCGGGCGUACCGGGCCUUGUGGGAACCGGCCUCAACAGACCGAGUUCGAUCGCCAAGGAUCUAGAAAUUAGAAUAUUUCUUUCCUUUCAAGGGGGGAAAAAAGCUUAGGAAAUUGACACAAUUAGUCAAGAAAAAAAAAACUAGCUGGAAUUGGGGGUAAGGGGAGGAAGCUCAACCUCUUCAAACAAUAGAGCGUGCAGGCAGGACGCCAAGUUUCCGAACUACCACUGCUAGUCCCUUAUGGUCUUCGGACCUAUGGAUCCAGCACUACGUGCAAUUAAUGUCUAAAUUACUCGACUUUGUUAUAUAAUAAUUUAAAUCAAUAAUGCAGAUUUUUUUUAAUCUACAUUGGGAAGAGGAUAGUGCAUGUGUGCGGUGAAAUUUGAUAGCAUUUAGACAGCAAAGAGGUAAGGCAAGAAGUUUGCACACGUGGAUACGGUGGAGCAUAUAUAGUACAUGGUAGAUUUUUUUCGUUCCUAUUUAUGUCGUAAGUAUCAUAUUCAUUGAUCACUUGAACGUACAAUAUUGCAAUUUAUAGCUUCCAUAUCAUGCAAUAUCAGCGCAUUCGUGGCUCCAUUUACUCGUGAUUUUUUCCAACAUAUGCACAUACUAAAUAGGCCUAUGUGAUUGUUGCAAAAAAUAAGUGAUCAAACAAAUAGUAAAUGAAACAAGAAAAUAAAUCAAAUAUUGAAUUUACAUGGUUUAAUUGAUGCGAUCUAUUCUAUUUGGACACGUAACAUGCAUUAUCUAAGUUGACUUCAUAUUAUAAUCGGUCAAUUUCUCGGUAGGCUUCAGGUCCAACUGCGAGUUUGUUGCCUGUCCAAAAGGUCAUAAUCAAUUAAUCUACUAGGCGAAACCUCAUCAAACGAAAUUGAUGAUUCUUUGUUGGUCUUCUACUAGAUCCAAACUUCCAUUCUCUAUAAUUGAGUUGACCAUUUGAAGUGAAUAAUAUAUCAGCCAUUGAUAGAGGAACCAUUCCCCCGAUACUAAUUUACAAGUGCACGUCCUAUUCAUGAACUGGCAUUCAGUGAAGUAUUAACAUAUUCUUAUGACUCAUUAAAACAUUGAUGUUGUUCUUCUUGGCCUUGAGAUGGUAGAUCUCUCUCUCUCUCUCUCUCUCUCUCUCUCUCUCUCUCUCUCUGUGAAAUGCAGAAAUCAAUGAGAAGAAAGGUUUGAUAUGCCAUGAAGAUCUUAAAGAUGUUGCAUGUCUUGGUUGGUUGUCUAGCUCUAGGAGUUUUCGCUCGUGGGCAACAAAAUCCAGGUUCUAUCUCUCACAUACACGCGUGCUUACAGUGAUCAUUGAAUUGUGAAGAGUUAGAGACGUUAGAUAAAAGGGAUUUUAGAAAACAGCACGGUGAUGAUUUAGUGUCUACCUUUCUUUCCAUUGGCAAUUGACCUUGCAAGCAGAAGACAAAAAAUAGUCAUACUCAAAUUCGUCUUAGAAAAUGAGUACUGAGUAUAUAAGCGGAGUUGAGCUCAAGGAGUUUUAAAUUUUUUUAAGUUACACAUAGCAAUAAUUUGUACACAACUUUAGGAAUUUAGGAAAGUUAAGGCCGUUCUACAUUCUCUACGAAACAUCCACAAAUCCUCCUUUAUAAUGGAGAGUUAGUAGUGUAUCAUCCUCUAACUUACUUUAUUUUUGCAAUUGAUAUCUCUGUUUUCAAGCUUUUCACAUAUGCCUUUACCAUCCGGUUAUCCAUCAAAACUUCUUUUCAACUAACAAUUAUCAAGUCAGUUCUUAAGUACGUAAUUUUCAUUGCUGAAAUGUCCUUCUAGUUGAUAUAGUUGUUAAAAAAUUAGAUAAAAAAGAUUUAAGGGACAUUGCAAAGCAUCAAGAAAUUUAUAUCACUGUUUAAAUUUCGAAUUCGUGAUGCAUGGUGAAAAGCAAGUGACAAUCUCUAGUUCCCCCUCGAUUUAGGUUUCAUAAGCAUCGAUUGCGGUGCACCUAAUGAUUACCAUGACGACCAGCUCGACAUAUACUACAAGGCUGAUACGGGGUUUGUAGAUUCUGGGACAAACAUGCAGGUGUCUACCCAAGUCAUCUACCAAGACAACCAACAACAAUCAAAGAAUCUCAGGAUCUUCUCCAGUGGAAUAAGGAAUUGUUACACAUUAAUGCCAGAUAAAGGAAAGGGCAACACAUAUUUGGUCAGGGCUUCAUUUUGGUAUGGGAAUUAUGAUGGCAAGAAUCAAACCCCAGCAUUUGACCUCCAUAUUGAUGUUAACUAUUGGAUCACAGUGAACUCUCCAUAUUAUGUAUGCGCAGAGAUUAUUUACACUCCUCCAAGAGAUUACAUACAAGUUUGCUUGGUGAAUACUGGCUCAGGAGUUCCAUUCAUAUCAGCUCUCGAGUUGCGAAUACUGGAUAACUCGACAUACCAAAUCAAUUCCGGUGCACUUAUAACCCAAUGGAGAUAUAAUUUAGGGAGUAUAGACACAUACAGGUGAUUUUCUUUGUUAUUACCUAUGAUAUUCAAACGUUGACCACAUUCAUCAGUAUGCAAAUGACAUGUUGUAUACACAUUUACUAAACGUGCAAUUUCACAUUAUGCAAAGCAUGAACAUUAGAAAAUGUGAUGUUAUUCCCAAACCAAUUUGUGUCGGCUUGUUCAUCAUCUUGCACUUACUGUUAUGAUUAUUUGACUGGCAUUGGCAUUAAUAGGCAUCCACAAGAUGUAUGUGAUCGCAUCUGGAACAAUAACACUUAUAGUGGAGGUUUGUCGUCAGUCAGCAACACGACGGCCAUCGUGACAAGUACAAGCAAUGAUGCCUAUGAAGUUCCACCUGAAGUUUUGAUGACCGCCACACAAGCACAAAAUGUCACCGAUCCUCUGAGUCUGUCUUGGACCUCACACAACUCCACUACUAUUUGGUAUGUGUACUUCCACUUUGUGGAAUUGCAACUGCAAAAGGGUCAAUUCAGAGAACUUACAGUGUAUGUACAAGACACAUUCGUGGAAACUGUCAUGCUCGAGGACCUGAAGCCAGUGACCAUAGUCUCAUUGCCCAUAAGUGGACAUAAUUUGAGCUUAACUGUUAAUGCGACAGCCCGCUCUAGUCUGCCACCGCUCCUCAAUGCCGUCGAGUUUUUCACUGUGGUCCAGCUUCUAAAUUCACCGACUUUUCUUGAUGACUGUAUGUAUAUAUCUAUGCUCUCACCUAAGUUUUUGCUUGAAUACUCUUUGAUUUCCUUAUGACUGUAGCUCUUUAUUUGGUGGUUUAGUCAAUGCCAUGUAUGAUAUCAAGAAGACAUAUGGGGUGAUCAGAGCAAGCUGGCAGGGUGAUCCAUGCAUUCCUACACAGUACUCAUGGAAUGGUCUGAAUUGUAGCUCUGAUAGUUCUCCAAGAAUCAUCUCAUUGUAAGUCUACAAAAACAUAUUUCCUGUGACACAAUGCUGCAUUGGAACCGCACAAGUCUCAAAAUAUAAGUUUACUUGACAAUAACUAUGGUACAGAUUGGUAAUACAUCAUGCGAGGAAAGGAAGAUUUUGAAAAUUAAGUCUCUAAAUUGAUGCCUUCCAUGUUAAAAGUUUUUUUUUUUGGCCGAUAAAAAAAUUAAAAAAAAAAAUUGAAGCGGUGGGAUUUUACUCUAAUCAAGAUAGCUGCUGAUGUGCAGGAACCUGAGCUCUAGUGGACUGAAAGGACUUGUAGCUACAUCAAUCUCCAAUUUGACAGCAGUUGUAUCCCUGUAUGCAUUAGCAGUUUUUCUUUUAUUUUAUUUUAUUUGAACAGAAAGAGAAUGGACGACACUAAGCCCAAAAAAAGCGACACGCUUCUUUAUCAUGAGCAUGAUGUUCAUUAUCUACCUUACCCUGUUUUAUGCAUUUCAAAAAGUACAUGCAUAUGAAGUUUCUUAGCACUUUUUUGGCUUAAAUUCAGGGAUUUAUCCAACAAUUCAUUAACCGGGUCCGUGCCAGACUUUUUAGCACAAAUGCCGAGCUUGAAAAUUCUGUGAGUCACUGAGCUUUUAACGGAAAGAUUAUGUGUGGUCAUCUAGCUCGAGCAAAUGGCUAUCAACUUCUAAUCAUGGAUAUUUGCAGGAAUUUAAGUGGAAACAACUUGAAUGGCUCUGUUCCUCAAACUCUCUUGAAGAAGAUGACAGAUGGAUCGUUACUACUUAGGUUCGCUCAUUGCCACGCUAUCAUAACACUACGUUUAAUCACUGAUUAUUAUCUGUACAAUCUGCUUCCUCUUUCUGUAUUUGCUGAUCACACUGAAGAAUGAACAGGAUAAUAAGUGAUAAUUGCUCUUUUAGUUUUCUCUUUGAUCAACUUAUGUAUGUAAUAUAUGCACGGUCGGAUAUCCAAGAAUUCAUGUGCUAAUCUUUUGGCAUUGACAUGUACCAUCGACGUUUUUCGACAGCUUAGAUGGAAAUCCAAAUCUUUGCCAAUCAGACGGUUGUCAGACCAGUGUGCAGUCGAAGAAAAAGGGCAUCUCUAUUGCUCCAAUCAUUGCAUCAGUUGCAGCCGCUCUGGUCUUGAUUUUAGUGGGAGCUCUUGCAGUAUUGUGGAAAAUCAAAAGAAGACAAAUCCAAAGUAACUCUCUUGCGUAUUGCAUGUACAAGAAAAAUCAAAAGUUUUACAUGUGAUUUUCUCAAUCCGGGUUGGGUUUUCAACCAUAAACUGGUUUAACUGGUCCAAUUGCUCAUGGCCCUUUCGACAAUCGGGCCCGGAAAAAGUGAACAUGAAUCUUGCUUCUGUGCAUCACUGUUUCACGUUAAAAAACCUAUGCACGCAUUAUUUGUUCAUAGUAUCAUAAUCGCGUCAAAGCGUACCCACAUUUCAUGUAGAUAAAGGCACGAAUAAUUCCUCAUUUGGUUGAGGUAACUCGCUUCGCUCUUUCUGGUUCAUUUUUCAUAACAUGGUCUCUUCUUUAUUUAAGUCAUUACAUACUUCUUCAAGAAGAUUCUAUUUGCAGUUAAGGCAUAUGAUAUCAGACUGAAGGUCAUAAUCUGCUUAACUCUGUUAAGGUUAUGUAAUUUCCUUUUCAUUUCUCCAGAUGUUACUACUACUACCACAACUACAAACUCUACCAGAGAAUUUACUGGGACAUUAAGGUUGUCAAAAAAUCAACUUUUUACAUCCACUGAGAUUACAAGAAUUACUGAUAACUUUGGAACAAUAAUCGGAGAGGGAGGAUUUGGGAAAGUUUACUUGGGCAGACUUGACAAUGGCACUAAAGUCGCGGUAAAAAUGUUAUCUCGAUCAUCCAAGCAAGGCUACAAGGAGUUUCAUGCAGAGGUUCGAAACAUUACUGCAACUAGAAUCAAUAAGUCCUGUUUUCGAUUUUUUGGGUGUUCUACUCAUGACAAGCUCUGAAACCUUGAUGUGCAGGCGCAACUCCUGAUGGUUGUUCACCAUAGAAAUCUAGUUUCACUUAUCGGAUAUUGCGAAGAAUUUGAAAACAUGGCACUGAUUUAUGAAUUCAUGUUCCAUGGAAAUGUUCAGCAACAUUUGUCAGGUUUGUCACAUAUUUCCUUCUCCAAAUUCUAACCAGAUAAAGCAUCACUUGGACUCUCGCUACAUGACAGGACAACACAUGUCGAUUUACAUUUUAUCUCAACUCUGUUCUUUCAUAGUUCAGGCUUUUGGAUUAAUCGGUCAAGUGACAUAGUCAUUUAUAGCACAAUGGAAAUGAAAUUAACUUUCUCAGCGAAUGAAUAAGAUGGAGAACAGGAUUUUAUAUCUUUUGUGAUUGGAAUACUUCCUUAAUCCUCUACUUUCAAGCAGCACAAAACCCGAAUGUUUUGAGUUGGAGCCAGAGACUACAAAUCGCAAUCGAUGCAGCUCAAGGUACAUAAAGUAGACUGAUGAAAUCUUUGUUCACAUAUCCACAAGUCAAGCAAUACGGUACACUUCAUUAAGUUUUCUUUUUUGUUGGUGGUGCAGGGUUGGAGUACCUGCAUAAUGGUUGUAGACCUCCCAUUGUCCAUAGAGAUUUAAAGACGCCCAAUAUUUUACUAAACAAAAACAUGCAAGCGAAGAUUGCUGAUUUUGGAUUAUCGAAAGCAUUUGCAACAGAGCAUGAUUCUCACAUUUCAACUCACGUAGCAGGAACUUUUGGUUAUCUUGAUCCAGAGUAAGCAACUUGAACCACCAAUUCUGAAUACAAAGACCAUUCCACCUAGGAAGCAAAAUAACUGUACUUAUUUAGACCAGCACGACAGGCCCAUACAUUUUUUUCGUACAUGUUUAUGUUGGAUACACGUUUGUAGAUACGUUUUUGUAAAGGCAGUCUGGGCAAUUAUUGUCCUAAUCAAAGCAAUAAUUCCUUUUGAAUCCUCAGGUUUUAUACAUCUGGAAACUUGAGCAAGAAGAGCGAUGUGUACAGCUUCGGUGUAGUUUUAUUUGAGCUAAUCACGGGACGCCUGGCCAUUAUGAGAAGUCCAGAGGGCAGCAGCAUGCACAUACUUCACUGGGUGACUCCACUCAUAGAAAGAGGGGACAUCCAAAGCAUUGUCGAUCCCAGGUUAAAUGGCCAAUUCAGCAUCAAUUCUGCAUGGAAAGCGGUGGAAAUAGCCAUGUCGUGUGUGCCGAUUAUGGCAGUCCAAAGGCCGGACAUGAACCAUGUUCUGUCAGAACUAAAAGAAUGCUUGACAGCAGAGAUCGGUUCAGGAAGAAUUGAGUCUUUUGAGAUUACCUCAAUUGACGUUGAGAUCACUCCGAGUGCUCGUUAACCAUACUUCAUCUAUAAGGUUAUCAUGUCCAUCUUCCUUGUAUAAGUUGUUGGUUAUUACAUCGAACAGAUUCGAAAACUCUUGUGCAAAGUCUGCGCUUGUGACUGUAAAUUGCGAGUGAUGGAUAUUGGGGUUGUUGCUUUUCUAGCUUAGUGAAUAAAUGAGUGAAUGGAGAGUUCACUUCACACUUCGACCCCUCUUUACAAGGCUACAAACUGUACAGUUAUCAAGAUGUUGAUAGCUAGCCUUGCUCAGCUGCGCAGCUAUUCAUGUGAACCCCUGUAUAACGCAGCAGAGGAAAAAUGAAUUUUUUUCGUUGUUAUACUAUCUGUUUUAUGAACCAAAGUCAUCUUUUGACAAUCUUUGCCACCCACAACCACCAAAGUACUAGCCACCAGGCCACAAUGAGAAGCCCAAAGAGCAGCACUCACGUCACCCAAUGGGCGUUGCCUCAAAUCGAACAAGAGGAUAUAGAGAGCAUCAUGGAUCAGAGGCUACACGGGCAGUUCGACACCGCAUCUGCUUAUUAACUAGUCGAGGCAGCAAUGUCGUGUGUGGUCGUGACUGCAAACGAGAGGUCGAACAUGAACCCGCAUGCUGUUGGAGCUGAAGGAAUGCUUGACUCUUUCUAGGCGACGUACCUGAUGAACCGAGGGAUUUUGUUCUACUUCACCCUUCACGAUCGCUGCUUAUGAUUUGGAUAACGUCUCUGAAAAAGUCCCACGAGACAGUGCUGAAUGUGCUCCAAAACCUUCCUUUGGGUUCUGUAAUUGUGGACGAUGUGAUUUUCUUUGAUGAUAUGAUAGCAUUUCAAGGUUUUGCAUGUACCGUAUCCUCCUAUGAACUCAUAGUGAGAGAUGAUAUUGAAGAAAGGAAACUGCUGCUUUGCACUGAAAGAAUCUUUGAUUAAAUCUGUCGGCCGAGUAAUCUAACGAUUCUUUUACCACAUGUAAGCUAGUAAAUUUGCGCACGUAUUGCGUGUUCCCAGAAAAAAAAAGAAAAAAUCAACGAACUCCCUAAAUGUUAUAUUAAGCCACCUUAACAUGAGAAAGUUAAAUCACCAAAUAAUGAAUUCCUAUGAAUCUACAAGGAUAUUGUUUCAAUAUACAACGAAAGAGAAAUAUAGGGCAAGAUUUGCUCUGGUACCUUGAUGUGCAGGCGCAACUCCUGAUGCCAUUCAGCGUAGAAAUCUGGUUUCACUUAUCGGACGUUGCCAAGAACUCGAAAGCAUGACGUUGAUUUACGAAUUCAUGCCCGAUAAAAAUGUUUGACCACAUUUGUCAGGUUUGUCUGAUAUUUCUUUUUGCAAUUCUAACCAGAUAAAGGAUCUCUUAAACGCCAGCACGACACGUGUGAAGCUAUAUAUCGUCUCAACACUGUUGUUUGAUAGUUCAGGCUUUCGCAUUAAUUGGUCAAGUUACAUACUCAUUAAUAGCACCAUGGAGAUAAAAUUAACCUUUUCAGCAGAUGAGGACAGUAGUGUACAGGCUUCCACAUCUUUCAUGUUUCUGGAAUACUCCUCAUUUCUCUACUGUCCAGCAGCACACCACCCUAAUGUUUUGAGCUGAAGCCAAAGACGACAAAUCCAAUCGAUGCAGCCCAAGGUACAUAAAGUAGAUCGAUGACAUCUUUGUUCACAUUUCCACAAGUUGAGCGACGCAACACAUUUCAUCAAGUUUUUUUUCUGUCGGUGGUGCAGGGUUGGACUACCUGCAUAAGGGCUGCAAACCUCCCAUUAUCCAUAGAGACAGCCAAUAUUUUACUAAACAAGAACACGCAGGCAAACAUUUGUGAUUUUGGAUUAUCGAAAGCAUUUGUAACAGAGCAUGAUUCUCAUCUUUUGACUCGUCCAGUGGAAACGCCUAGUUAUCUCAAUCCAGAGUAAGUGACUCGAAAAUCUCCGAAUACAAAGACUAUUCCACCUAGGAAGUGGAAUAACAAUAACUGUACUAAUUUAGACCAGCACAAGAGGCCCAUACAUCUACUCAUAUACGUUUAUGUUGCGUAGACCUAUGUAAGUGCAUUUUUUUUGUGAAGGCAGCUUUGGCGAUAGUUGUACUAAUCAAAGCAACAAUUCCUCUUGAAUACUCAGGUUUCAUAUAUCUGAAAGCUUGAGCGAUAAGAGCGAUGUAUACAGCUUCGGCAUAGUUUUAUUCGAGUUAACCAUGGGCCGCCCCACCAUUAUAAGAAGUUCAGAGGGCAGCAUGCACAUACUUUACUAGGUAACUCCAUUCGUAGAAAGAGGGGACGUCCAAAGCAUUGUCAAUCCAAGGUUAAAUGACCAAUUCAACAUCGGUUCUGUACGGAAAGCGGUGGAAACAGCCUUGUCGUGUGUAUCAACGAAAGCGGUCCAAAGGGCAAACAUAAACCGUGUUCUGUCUGAACUUAAAGAAUGCUUGACCCUAGAGAUCAGUUCACGAAGAAGCCAAAGAACAGAAAAUAGUAGGAGAAGAAGUGAGUUGAAGAUAACCACAAUAGAGCUUGAUGGUCCUCCUUAUGCGUGUUAACCAUACUUCAUACAUAAGUUUAUCAUGUCCAUAUUUUUCUUUUUCUUUUUAUUCGAAUUAUGAUGUCCAUAGAAACUUGCCCAAAAAGUUCUAAAUUUAUUGCAUUUUUACCAAUUCAGUCAUAAACUUUUUAAUUAUGCCAAUUGAGUAAUAAAUAUUUUCAUAUUUUGUCAAUUGAAUCCAUCCAGUCAAUUUUAGCUAAAAAUUACUAACGUGGAUAUCAACCGUCCUACGUGACAUAACCGGCAUUGAGAUAGAUAAUUUUAAUUUUUUAAUAUGUUUUGUUUUUAUUCUUUUCUUUUUCAUUUUUUUCUUUUCUUCUCUUCUCUUCUCUUCUCUUCUCUUUUCCUUCUUUUCUUUUUUUACGACCCUCACCUGCCAUAAUAAUAAAAUAAAAUAAAAGUAAAGAAGGAAAAGAAAAUAAAGUAAAAUUAAUAAAAGAAAUUUGAAAAAUAUAUACGUCGGCGAUUUCCGAUCAAAAUUGACUAAAUUAAUUGAAAAAAAUAUGAGAGGUUUACAACUCAAGUGGUAUAAUUAAAAGAUUUAGAACUGAAUUAAUAAAAGUACAAUAAAUUAUUACUUUUUGAAUACUUUUUCCGAUUGUUGUUAAGAUAGUUUGUUAUCCGGGAAAAAAGGUAACUCUUGGUCCCAAAUAGAGUGACUCUUGGUGAUGAAACAAUGUGAUUCUUAGUUUUUUUUUUUUUGGUCGUAUUGAUUCUUAGUUAUGAAAAGAGGUAAUUUUUAACAUGAAAAGUUAUGAUAGUUUAUCAUGAAAAAUGGUGACAGUGGGGAUAAAGUUCUUACCGCCAAGAGAUGUAUUGAUCGGUUGUCUAUAAAUAUAAUCAAAUCAUUUAUGUUCAUUACAACUGUUCAAAAUAACAAUUUCUUCUUUGUAACUCUCUUCCUCUCUUUAUAUAUGCCAACUAUGAUAACACAUUCAAGGUAAAAUUUCAAAAGAAAAAUUAAGUAAUUGUUGAACUAGUUUCUCUAUCGCUUUGGUGUGUAUCUUGAAGGUAAUUUUUUUUUUAAGCCUCACAAGAAUAAUAAUGAGGGGUAAAUCGUACCUUAAGGAUAGUAAACUUCAUCACACAUCGAAGUGUCAAGCAUCUAUAAAUUAUUGCUCUAUUUUCAUCAACAUUCAAAAUUUCCCAAUAAUCUUGAGGUACUAUUAUUUUUACGGAGAUGGAGAUAGUAGCUGCAUCAACUACUCACAAUCUUCACAGAUAAGCAUUAUUGAAACUUUUGUUUCUAUUUAUAUGCUUAAGUCAUUUUUGUCACAACCUACUGUUAAACAAUGAUUUACCUAAAGUUCAACUAAUGGAUUAUUAAGUUUAACCUUAUUUUGCGCUCCCCCAAACCUAUACAAAUUCACAACUUAGGUCAAGUCAUUAGUAUGUAAAUCAAUUUCAUUUGGAGUCUCCACUAAUUAAUUUAUGGUGGGUCAAUAAAAACUCAAGUAAUACAUUGAGAAAAACACUAUACCUUACGAACUAGAAAUUGUGGAUGACACGACAUGACACUGUAAUUUAAUUAUUUUAUUUACAAUUAACAAAUUUUUAGUAUAAUGUUGACUCCUAUAUAUUUCACAAGGAGGUAAAAAUGUGCUAUUUGUAGAAAAUAUUUUUUUUCGGAAAUCAUUUAAAAAAACGACAAUAUUUUCCGAUGGUUGAAACUUGAAAAUAAACUAGAAAAUAUUUUCCCUUGUUUGGAGGAAAAUCUUAUUUGAUUUUUCUAAGUAAACAUACGCUAUUUGAGUACUAAUGAUUUGUGUGUGGGUACAUAAGGAACCCAGCACGAGUAUAGGAGUCUCAAGCCCGGAUACCAACUCCCAAGCACGAGCAUGGGCACUAGUCUUGGGUCAUCAAAAUCAAACCGAGAACUUGAUGCCUGUGCCCAACUCCCUCAUGCCCUAACCCAGGUCUACGAAGGCUAGGCCAAGUCCCCAACACCUAGGCUUGGGCCAUCAAAGCCAAGCCCCAUACCUUAGCGCUUAGGAUGGGGACCCCAAGCUAAGGUCAAUCGAGGCUAGCCCGAGGACUUCGAUACCAAUGCAUGCUUCUUGGUCCAUCAAGGUUAGGCCUCGAACCCCACGCCCAAAAUCCGGUUCCCUACACCUAGACUCAGGUCUAUUAAGGUUGGGCCUAGGACCUUAGCACCCAUACCUGAGUCCAUCGAGGCUAGGCCCCGGUUCCAAACACCCAAACCCAACCUUGACAUCAAUGGACCGUGGCAUAGGCUCGGGGGACUUAGGCUUGUGCAUAGGAGUCCGAGGCUAGCCUCAAUGAACCUGGGCUCAAAAGCCAAGGACUUGGGCUUGGGCAUCGCGGUCAAGGGCCCAUCCACAUGGUCCAUGAACUCGAUGCACUCAACCACAACCCUCCACCAGGAUUGAUCCAGACACUCAGCUAGAUCGAUUGACUCGACCACAAGAAUGAUCCUUGAAUGUCUAGGAUUGAUGCACACGGUCCAUGGACACGAUGCAAGGCACAAUACACCCAACCUUAAUGGACUCUUACAAGGGUGCUAAGGAUCGAGGCACAGACUAGAUGGACUUGGUUUGGCUAAGCCUGGACUUGGGCUCGAGUAGGGGGGCUUCCCCGCUAUCAAGGAUCUAAGAAAAAGCGUUAAGAUAUAUUUUUUUUUGUCUAUCUACUUAAAUUUUGAAAAAAUAAUCUUUGAUUUAAAAAAAAAAAACCCCCCAUUUUUCUAAAUUUAAGUUCAGAUAAAAAAAUAUAUAUAUUUUUCUUUAAAUAAAGAAAUAUUCGUUAAUAAAUCAGCUUCCUGAAGAAUUUAAAGGCGAAAAAAUUUUCUGCCAAAUAAGCUCGAGCUCCUUAACCUGCGAUCCUCUGUAUCCUUCCCCGUCCGAAGGGCCCUUGACUUUUGAACUUCGCGGGGUUUUGCGCUGACUUCUUCGUCCUCCCCUCGCUCUGAACUCUGCAAGUAAGCCCUAAAGAUUCCAUUUUUCUGAGAUUCUCUCGCCCCUUCCCUCCUUCCAUGUCAUGCAAAUAUCGGAAAUGAGAGCUUUGAGAACGCUCUGCACCCACAAUCACCUCCUCCAUCCCACCUCCAAACCCACAUACCUCGCCUCCUUCAAGCCCCUCCAGAACCCCAGUCUCUACCGCGGCAUCCACUCCACGAAUCGCCGCCUCCUCUCUCGAGACCCCGGCCUCGCGCCCUUGCCCUCGGGCUCUGAGUCGGAGGCCAGCGACGCCGCC
rnacentral:lncRNA from 1 species